rnacentral:lncRNA from 1 species
UUUCAUCCUCAUUUUCUUGUAUCCAUUUUGCGUUAUGUCACCAUUUAUUUUCAUAUCGACAUUUGGUUUCAAUUAGAUCACCGGAGGAAAUACGAUGGGAAGAACACAGAUCAUCUCAAAGAGCACCGUCUGUGCAGCAAUUCACAAGGAACCAAACCUUAGAAUCGAUUUAACUCCAUGGGAUCUUAAGCUCAUUCAAUUUGAUACCAUUCAGAAAGGACUUCUCUUCCGCAAACCUUCAGAGGAUAACACCGAUACCAGCAGCUUGAACUUGAUCCACCACCUCAAGACCUCCCUUUCACGUACGCUAGACUACUUUCCCCUCGCCUAGCCACCAUCGAGCAUCGUGAUCACAGCAACACAAUUUCUGUUUACAUAAAUUGCAACAAUGCCGGCGCAGAGUUUGUGCACGCCAUGGCCGAUGGAGUCUCUGUUGCAGAUAUCAUUUCACCUGUUUAUGUUCCUAAUGAAACUGUUUACUCUUUUUUCCCACUAAAUGGAGUAACAAACUGUCAGUGUAUCUCCGAGGCCAAGCCGUUGCUUGGGGUUCAAGUGACAGAGCUUGUGGAUGGAAUCUUCAUCGCUUGCACUAUCAAUCACUCCGUUGUUGACGGCACUUCCUUUUGGCAUUUCUUCAAUUCCUGGUCUGAAAUCUCACGGGGUUCUGAUUGUAUUUCAAAAGUUCCAGUUCUCGAACGUGGGUUUCUCUCUGAAUCAGAAUAUUUUCCCAUUCGCCUCCCUCUCUGGAGCAUUGAACCUUCCGGAACUCGCACUCCACCGCCUAAUUUGCAACAAAGGGUUUUCCACUUUACGAAGGAAAAAGUUGCAAAACUCAAAGCAAAAGCCAAUGCUGAGAUUGGUAGUACCAACAAAAUCUCCUCUCUCCAAGCAAUCCUUUCCCAUAUUUGGCGAUCUGUUACUCGUAAUCGAUCUCUUGAUCCUGAUGAAGAAGUUCAUUUCAUGUUAGGAAUGGGAGUUAGACAAAGAUUGCAACCACCACUGCCACCAGAAUAUUUUGGAAAUGCAGCUCAGGUACUGGGAGAGUUCGCAUCCAUGAAAGCGAGAGAUCAACUUGAGCAAGGGCUUGGAAAUGUGGCAUUGAAAAUGAACAAGUUCAUCGCUGCGUACACAGACGAAAAGAUAAAGAACUUCUUGGAGUCUUGGGGAAAAAACCCUGAGAUCCUAACAUGGGAUAGCCUGCCGACGAAGAAUAAUGCUUGCUUCGUAAGUAGCUCGCCGAGGUUCAAUUUCUACGGUAACGAUUUCGGGUGGGGAAGACCAAUUGCAGUAAGGAGUGGUCCAGCGAACAAGGCUGCUGAGGGGAAGAUCACCCUGUUUGCCGGAGUGGAAGAAGGGAGUGUCGACGUUGAAGCUUGCUUUUUGCCUGGGACACUGCAAGGUAUGGGAAAUGAUACAGAAUUCAUGCAAUUGGUAUCUUAAUUGUUAAAAAUCUUCCGUGUUCUGGGGCUUUGCUCAUUAACCAUUAUAUCAAUGAAAGCUUACUUUUAAAUACAUUUAGGAUUUCAAUUAAAAUAUAUCUAAUUUUGAUAUUUUUGAAAAAUAAAGCCAUGGUGAAAUAAUUGACAUAACAUCAAUAUUAUAUCAGUAGUUCAGUGAUUUUUUUUUUCUUUUUGGGUACUUGCACCUUGCUGAUAUAGACUUUGUAAAUUAUUUUGAAUGCUUAACAUAUUUCUUUUAAUGUGAUCAAUAAAAGUUUUAAAAGCAGUCUAACAAAUUAAUGAUAAAUAAAUUUGUUUCAUAUUAAAAAUAAUUCUCGAUGACUUGAUAAUCCUGUGAAGAAGUUCCUUUCGAACUAUCGAUAGGAGUUAGAAUAAGAUUGCAACCAUCACUGCCGCCUGAUGAAUAUUUCGGAAAUGCAAUUCUAUAAAGCGGGAGAUCAAAUUGAAUAUGCGGCACUGCGAAUGAGCAAUGUUAGUGAAACUGAUAAAAUGUGAAGAACAGAGGAAACGAGUACAUGCUGUAACUAGGGGUGGGCAUUUUACCCGACCCGACCCGACCCGAAAUUUAUCGGGUCGGGUCGGGAUCGAAACCUGAUCGGUUUGAAAUUUACAAACCCGAUCGGGUUGUGAUCGGUUCGGGUCAAACCCGACCCGAUCCGAAUACCCGAUCGGGUUCUUAAAAAAAAAAAAAAACGUACUGACCUGAAUUGACCUGAUUUCAACCGACCCGAACUGACCCGAAUUGACCCGAACUGACCCGAUUUCAACCGACCCAAAUUGACCCGAACUGACCCAAAUUGACCCGAAUUGACCCGAACUGACCCGAACUGACCCGAACUAACCCAAAUUGACCUGAACUCAAUCCUACCCAUUUUAAAUCCAACCCGAUCCAACCCGAACAUAGUUCGGGUCGGGUCAUUAAUUCGGGUUAUGUUCGGAUUGUUCCUUGUCUAACCCGAACAACCCGAAACCCGAUCGGGUUGACCCGAACCCGACCCGAACCCGAUUUUGCCCACCCCUAGCUGUAACUAUGUAUUUGACAGCAGCUGAAUAGCUCACUCAGCUGACGUGGCUUAGUUAGUUAUUUUGAUUUAAGCAUUCUUCACAUGUGUGUAACAAAUUGCCAACAAUUAGUAACAAGUUGCUUUCACUUGCUAUAUAUAUGUAUAAUCUGUACUCAUUCGAUUAAUGAGAAGUUUUUACAAGUUUCCAUUAUGAGUUUUUCAUUCAUUUUCCUUUUAACUUUCUCGCUUCCCAAACACAAAUACUUGAGUUUCUAUCAUGGUAUCAGAGCCAUCAAUGGUGUUGUAAAAAAUUUUAAUAUACUCGUAAGCGCACGAAUGUAGAAUAAAAUAAUGGUAAUAAGGUCAAACCCACAGGGAUUAUUAUAAAUUAAAAAGUCUAAUUUAAAUAAAUUAAUAUUAAUUCUAACAUAGUUGAACAAAUUGAGUUUCUAAUAAAAUUUAACCAAUUAAACUAAGAAAACAAUUAAAACAAAGGAGAAUUUAAUAAGACAAAAAUUACUAAGGUUUCAGAAUCCACCACUAAUCAACUAGUAAUUACCUAAUUAUUAAUUAAUCCCCAAUUUUAGAGUGACAACUCGAAAUCAAUUUAUAUCAUCUCAUGGAUAUAACAAUUAAGCCCAAAUAAAAUUAUUCUUGUGUUGGUUCUUUUUCUUCUUAAUAAUAUGAUAUCUAAGCAUCCCAUGUAAACAUAUUGAAUAACAAAGAGUCAAAGUUUUCCGAAGCACUCUGUGUAAACAAUUUAAUGAAAGACACAGAAUCAAAGAUAAUCAUGUAUAAACUUUAAAGACUCAAGCAUAAAUUUAAUCGGAUAUUAAUUGUAACAAUCAAUAAUACAUGACAGAAUUGAUGAAAAAAUUUUAAUGCCCUUUUUAUCCUUAAUCUUUAUUCCUUCCCAAUUUGAACUUCUUCAUGCCCUUUUUAUCCUUAAUCUUCAAUUAAUUUCCUAUUCAAUAAAAUAAUUCAAUUAAUUAAAAAUAACAAAUAAAAAUAACUAGUAAAUAUGUAAUUACGGGUAAAAUAUGUAUAUAAAUUAUGAUCAUCAAAUGGCAAGCAUGAUUCAAUCCAAUACAUCCUCCUCUCCUUCAAAUAAUUCCCUACCUCAUAUCAUUCCUGCACCUCCUCCCAUUGGUCAUCCUAUGAUGACCAGAUCCAAGAAUGGCAUAUUCAAGCCAAAGUCUUAUCUAUGUGCUCUUUUAGCCUAAUCAUUUGAACUUUCCUCUGUCUCUCAAGCUUUAUCUGAUCCAUUAUAGUUCAAAACCAUGCAAGAAGAAUUUCAAGCCUUACAAGCCAAUCACACAUGAGACUUGGUACUACCUACUGCUCCUGUUAAAGUGGUUGGUAACAAAUGAGUUUUUAGAAUAAAAUACAACCCUAAUGGGUCAAUACUAAAGUACAAAGCACGACUGGUUGCUAAAGACUUCCAUCAGAUACAUGGUCUUCAAUUUUACAAUUGUGGAGCUAUGCAGAUCAACUCUUUUACAUAUUCAGAUUGGGCUUGUGAUCGGGAUGAUAGAAAAUCAGUAGUUGGUUUUGCUGUUUAUCUAGGUGCCAAUCUGGUUUCAUGGUCAUCCACGAAACAAUUAGCUGUCUCAAGGUCCAGUACAAAAGCUGAGUACAGAGCUUUGGCUCAUGCUGCAUCAGAGGUCAUUUGGAUAUAGUUUUUACUUGCUGAGCUAAGAAUUCAACUAAGUACUACACCAAUUAUGUGGUGUGAUAACCAGGGAGCAAUUGCCUUAGCUUAUAAUUCAGUUUAUCAUGCUAAAACAAAGCAUGUUGAGCUGGACAUUCAUUUCAUCAAAGAUAGAGUGGGAUAAAAAGAAAUAGCUAUUUUUUUUGUGCAUAGUGAAGAUCAAACAACAAAUGUCUUAACUAAGGCUCUUACUUUCACUUAGUUCCAUUGCUUGCGCAGUAAAUAAAAUGUUUAUCCCAGAAACACCAGUUCCAGAGGGGAUAUAAGUAAAGAUGAUAAUUUGUGAAGAAUAAAAGAAUGGAGUAAUGUGAAAAGCAGAAACUCCAGCUUAAGAGGGGAUGUUAGUGAAACUGAUCCCUUGGAGUCCUGGAGACAAAACCUUGUGGUCUUAACAUGGGAAAGCUAGAAGACGAAAUCUUAUUGGUUUCCAAAUAGUUCGUCGAGGUUCAAUAGCAAUGAGAAGUGGUCUAGGGAAUAAAGCUUAUGGAAAUAUCACUUUGUUUACAGGAGUGGAAGAAGGUAAUAUCGACAUUGAAGCUUGCUUUUUACCGGAGACACAAUAGGGUAUGGGACAUGAUACAGAGUUCAUGCCAUCUACGUGUUAACGUCUUUGGUGAUCCUAAAAUAUUACUUUCUAAUAAUUCAUUUACACGUUAUCACGUGUAAAUGAAUGGUAUCAUAAUUAGUUAAAAGCACACAAAUGAUAAAAAGUGAAUUCAUUACUAUAACUAUGCUUUAUUUAGGCACCUCAUGCAAUAAAUUAUUUCAUCUCAAAACUCAAUUUAAUAAUUAAUCCCAUGAACAUCCAUUCGUUAGAGCAUGACAACAAAAUUUCUGUAUGGCAUCUGUGGCAGAGCAUAAUAGCUGUAGAGAAAUGGAAAUUGAAAGGAAGGAGCUGGUAGCUUAUAACUGUGAUUCAAGUUUUUGCUUUAGAAUCUUUCAGAAAAAAAAAGUUUUUGCUUUAGAAAUUUUUUGACUCGACCUAGUAAACUGGUCAAUACCUCACGAGCUCAUUAAACUAUCAAAUUUGGGGCCCAAUUUGAUGGGCCUAGUUGGUUGCAGUGUUGGGUCUAGUUAGUCUCAACAAAUACUGGUCGUAGCCUUGUAGGCAGUUCGCAUUAGAGAUUUAUGAUGAUUGUAAUGUGUGAAUGAGUAAUAGAAAGCUCUAUUUAUUGGCACAAGGAGUAACCUUUGUGCGGUUGUGCAGAUAAAAAGAGAAAACAUGUAGUGGGUAAUAUGAAAUUAACAGUAAUAUGUUGUUAUAAACACGAUUAGAAAACUCAUGAUUUAAGCCAUAAAAGCCUUCAACUCAACACCAAAGUAUUCAGGGAACUACACUCAUGGUUUGAAUAGAAAUGCACAACCAUGGUUCUAAUACCAAUGGCUAAAAUAAUUUUAAGCUUUACGGCAAUGAAUCCAUUCAACAUAUUUCAUAAGGGAGAAAAACUGCAUUUUAUCUUGGUUGGCCAUGAAAAAGACUUGCUGGUCAGCUUGUUUCUUGCCCGUUAAUUCAACCUUUUGUUCUUGGCUUCAAUCUCAACAGCAAAAUCAAGCUCCUCAUUCACUGCACACACACACAAUUAGGAGAAAGGAGAAAAAGAAAGACAGUGUAUAAUGAAACUGCAUUUUAAAGAAAUGUGUAGAAAACAAUCAAAACCUUUACAGAAUUCUUAGUAUUUUUGUCAACACAAUACUUCUUCUUUUAAAGACAUUUAUGCCAUAGUACAAAACCUUAGCCUACAAGAUUUGUACACACAAAAUGAAAAAAGAGCCAAGUAAUUCAUGAAUAAAAAACAUAGAGCAAAGAAGGGAUAAGUAACAUAAACACGCACACAAAAUUGGCACAGAUGAACAAAGAACGAGUUGCAAGCUCUUUAUUACCGAAAGAAACGAGCCCCAUAUCAUAUGAUCUCCCUACAAGCUUUACAACGAGCUAUCAUAUGCUUUCUAACUCUCAAAGAUUAACAAGUUACAGGCCUUAGAAAUUGCCCUCGUAAAUUCAUUUUAAAGCUAAAUUUUCUUACUAUUCAUGUGAUGAGCAUAUACUAUAUACAUAUUUUACCCUUAAUUAUAUAAUUACUAAUUAUUUUUAUUUGAUAUUUUUAAUUAAUUAAUUAUUUUGUUGAAUAAAAAAUUACGUGGAGAUUAUGAAUAAAAAAAGGGCAUAAAGGAGCUCAAUUUCGGAAGCAUUAAUUAAUUGAUUUUCGGAGCAAUUAGGCAUAUUUGCAUGUGAAGCCAAGCCAAGGAAACCAAAUUAAACAAAUUAAUUCAUCCAUGCACAUGAAGACAAAGAAGAUUAUGGCCAUCACGUGAGAAGCAAUCACCAUUAUUGUUAGCAUGUGCAUGUCAUUAAAAAAGGAAUUCUAAUGCAAUUCUAAGUGGUGAGCACGUGUGAGAGCAAAACAAAUUAAAAGGCCAAGCCUUUCGGCUUUAGAAUUGGAAUGGUUGGUGGCUCAUUUUGGAGAUUAUAAAAAGAAAUAUGAACUUUGGCUUUUAAGAGGCCAACCGCGAGAAGAGAAAAAAGAGAGCAACGUUAGGCAUUCGGCAGAGGAGAAAAUAGCGGCAGAAGCUCUUUAAUUCUUUUAUGGUUGGUUUUAUUUUAUUUGUUGCUCUCAAUUCAAGUAUGUCUAGCUAAUUUUCUUUUACUGAGGUUAAAGAUGAAACCUUAUUCAAUGAAAUAAUUAUCUUUUUAUUUAAUGAAUUCCUUACAUGCGUGUUUUAAUGUUUAUGUUUUUUUAUUUUACAUGAUUAGUUGGAUGUUAUUAAAUCUUUUCAUCAAUUCUGUCAAGCAUUAUUGAUUGUUAGGAUUAAUAUUCAAUUAAAUUUAUGCUUUGGUCUAUAAAGUUUUUAUAUUAUUAUCUUUGAUUCUAUAUCUUUCAUUAAAUUGUUUACAUAGAGUGCUUAGGUAAAUUUUGACAUUUUGUUAUUCAAUAUGUUUACAUAAAAUGCUUAGAUAUCAUACUAUUAAGCAGAAAAAGAACCUACAUUAGAUUUAAUUACUUGGGCUUAAUUGUUAUAUUCAUAAGAUGACAUAGAUUGAUUUCGAGUUGUCACUCUAAAAUUGGGGAUUAAUUAACAAUUAGAUAAUUACUAAUUGAAUAGUGGUGGAUUCUGAAACCUUGAUAAUUUUUGUCUUAUUAAAUUCUCUUUUAUUUUAAUUGCCUUAGUUUAAUUAGUUUAAUUUAUCAUUGCCUUAGUUUAAUUAGUUUAAUUUAUCUUAAAACUUAAUUUGCUCAACUAUUUUAUAAUUAAUAUUAAUUUUAGAUUUAAAUUAGACUUUUCAAUUUAUAACAAUCCAUGUAGGUUUGACCUCAUUACCACUAUUCUAUUUUUAAAUUCGUGUGCUUGCAAGUAUAUUAAAAUUUUUCACAAUAAGUUUUUGGCGUCGUUAUCAGGGAUUGUGCCAAAAAGUCAGUUUAAUCUAGAUUGAUUUGAUUUUUCCACUAGUUAUAAUUUAAGUUGUCUUUUAUUUUUAUUUUAUUUUAUUAAUAAAAAACACAAAAAAUAUUUAUUUGUCUUUAAAUUUAUUGUUUGGUUGUUUGAUUUGUUAUAUUUUAAAUUCCGUUUAUUUUUAUUAUUGUUGCUUUAUUUUCCUUUCUUUGUCUAGUUAGUUUAUGAGUGUUUGGGAACGCGAUUCAACAAAUCGUUUGGUAAGAAAAGAGUUUAAAAUUGAUAGUAGUCGAGUUAGUUCUUCAAAAGUGAUGGAUGACCCAAAGAGAAUAUUGUCAGUACUUCCACCAGUGCAAACAGAGAAAAUCCUUAGAGAAUAUUUUUCACCACUUGCAGCCAACCAACCAUCUUGUAUUAUGUUGCCACAGACUACAGCAACACACUUUGAAUUCAAGCCCUCUGUCAUUUAGCUUUUACCAUCUUUCCAUCAAAAUUUUAAUGAUCAGUCAAUUAGGUUUCGUAUGUUCCCUUUCUCAUUAAAAGACAAAGCGGAAGCUUGGUUGAAUUCACUUCCUGCUGGGUCUAUUACUACAUGGGAUGAAUUAAGUAAUAAGUUCUUUACCAAGUUUUUCCCUAUGUCUAAAACAAAUGUCAUUAGGAGAGAGAUAAAUGAUUUUUGUCAAAGAGAGGGUGAACAAUUUUAUGAGUGUUGUGAAAGAUUCAAUGAUUUACUCCUCAAGUGUCCCCAUCAUGGUUUUGAGAAAUGGAGACUUAUACAGUGCUUUUAUAAUGGUUUAACUAUAUCAAAUCAUCACAUGAUAGAGUCUAUGAAUGGUGGGAGAUUUUUUAAUUUACAUGAAGGGGCUGCAUGCGAUUUCUUUAUUUUACUUUUUGAGAAUUCUCAACAAUGAGAUUUUUCAAAUCAAAGAAAAAAAUGAUCUCAAGUUUCUAGGAAAGUCUAUAUGAAGUUAAUGAUGAUUUUGAUGUUAAGGUCAUUCUAGCUACACUUUCUAGGAAAAGUAGAUGCCUUAACUCUGAACCAAUCAAUGAAUCAUCACCCUAGUGUACCUAAUGAAGUUUGUACUCUUUGUUCUAACUUGUCUCAUACAGCACAUAAUUGUCCAUCAUUACCAGCCUAUCAAGAGGCUUAUUCUGAGCAGGUACAUGCCUUACAAUCAUAUGAGAAAACCCCCAAUAAUCCAUAUUCACCCACAUAUAAUCCUAAUUGGAGGAACCACCCUAAUUUUUCUUUGAAACAAAGUCAGCCUUUAUCAAACCAAGGAGGACAACAAUUCAACGUACCCAAUCAACAAUUUGUCCUUUCUAACCAAGUAUAUCCUCCUGCCCAACAGCCUAUGUCUCAAUUUGUUACACCUUAGCAAAGAAAAUGUUCUUUAGAUGAUACACUUUAAAGUUUCAUUCAGUUAACCCAACAAGCUUUUCAGUCAAACACUCAAGCUAUUCUAAAGCUUGAACAUCAAUUGGGUCAAUUAGCAACUGCUGUGGCUGAGAGAAAAAAAGGAAAAUUCCCAAGUCAACCAGUUCUUAAUCCUAAAUGAGUGCAUAAAGUUGGAUCAACUUCAAGCCAUCAGUAUAAAGAAGCAAAAUCUAUUAUGACCUUGAGAAAAUGAAAAAUAUUUGACAACAAGGUGGAGGUUCGAACAAGAAAGACAUCUGAACCUACUUCUGCAGAUCCAGUUCCAUCACAAGACUCAUCACUAAAUGAUCCAGAAGAAAGUAAUCCACCAGCUUACAUUCCUAAGGCUUAUUUUCCUUAAAGGUUAACAAAGGUAAAGAAAGAGACUUCAACAUGUGAGAUUAUGGAAAUCUUCAGGCAUGUAAGUAUAAGCAUCCCUUUACUCGAUGUUAUUAAGCAAGUUCCUCAUAUGCCAAGUUUUUGAAGGAUUUAUGAACUAAAAAAAGAAAUUUGCAUGUCACCAAAAAUGCAUUUUUAACUGAACAAACUAGCAAUUUACUUCAAUAUAAAAUGCCACCAAAAUUUAAGGAUCUAAGUUCCCCUACUAUCUCAUGUGUUAUAGGGAACCAAUUGUUUGAUAAAGCAUUAUUGGAUUUGGAUGCAAGUGUUAAUCUCUUGCCUUACUUUGUUUACAUGCAGCUUGGAUUACAUAAAUUAAAGUCAACUUCCAUUAUUUUGCAACAUGCAGAUAGGUUAAUGAAAAUACCUCAUGGUAUUAUAGAGGAUGUGUUGAUACAGAUUGAUAAAUUUUAUUAUUUUGUUGACUUUAUUGAUAUUGAUACUCAGCAUGUACAGGAUCCUAAGAAACACACCCCAGUUAUUUUAGGUCGUCCUUUCUUAGCUACAGUUGAUGCUCUUAUUAAUUGCAGGAAUGGAAACAUGCAAUUAUCUUUUGGUAACAUGACCAUGGAAUUAAAUAUUUUUAAUGUUCCUGAUAACUCUAGGAAAUGAGAGUUAUUACAUCAAUUCUAAACUUAAAUCAAGAUCACUUAGAGAACAAAUAAGGUGUUUUUAUUACAUUUUGGUUAUAUUUUGCAUAAACAUUCAUUUUAGUUAAGUUUUAAUAAGUUUUGUUUGAAUCAAAGUAAUUGGUGCUAAAAACAGGUGCAUAAUUGUAGCUUUUCAGAAAGUCUUAAUUCAUGAGAGGAUGGUGAGACAUUAGAUGAGCAAGAGGAGGAAAGAAGAUAGCCGCAAAAGAAGAAAAGCACAAUGGGGAAUAGUACAGUAUUGUAGCGGAUGUUAAAGCAACCAGUGCUAUAACAAUCUUGGAGCAAUGCUGGAGAAAAUUCAGGCGCGGGUCAGCUGCAGAAUCGCGAUUUGCAUGUUUCCUAAUUUAACUCAUGCACGCUUAUGGACUUUUAUUUUACUCUAGUUUGCAGUAUAAAAGAGAGGCGUGCACCACAUAGAGAGGCGACAAGAGGAAUUAUCAUAAAAAAUCAUUAGAGAGAAAAAGAGAAGAAGAUCAGAAUUGAAGAGUGUUGUUUCGGCAACAUUGAGGAAUCUGGUAGAAUUAUUCGAAUUUGUCUUUCACUGUGCUCAACUGAUAUUUAUCUUCCUCCUUUGAUUGUUUUAAUGUAUCCCGUGAACAACAUAUUUUUGUUUGUUUUUCUUAUUCAGAAUAUGAACUAGAUUUGCUUGUAGUUGAGUGACAAACAAUCCAAUGGGUUCUUGACUGUUCUUAUGUGUUGUUAUGUCAUUGCUGUAGUAUUAUACUCUAAUAGUUAUUAUUAAUAUAACUGUUAUUUCGGUUGACCACCCAUUUAAUAGUUCCAGUUAAGAUAGAGCAGUAAAAGUGCAUGUCUUAGCGGACAUUAUUAGAAUAUUACUUGAUCUUAAGUUAAGUUUCCUAGAUUAAGUUAUCUUGAAUCCCAUAAGGGCAAUGACAUAACAACACAUAAGUGCUCACCUUGUAGGGUGGAGAGAUAAAAAUGGAUCAUAAAGCCAUAUCAUGAGUAGAUUAGCAACUGGUCAUUGCUAGUGUAUUUAAGGGUAUGAGAGUUCCAAUAUGCGACAGCUGAGGAUGCAGAUUAAUUCCGCCCAGUGCUGCAGCACUUGCCGUAACAAUUGGAGUCCACUUGAUGAAAAACAGUCAGCCCAUAAGGAGAGUUUGAUCAUUCAACUACCAUGUUCUUACUUGAAUCUUAGACACAUUCAGUUUAGUUUAUUUCAUUGUGGUUUUGUUUAUUUUAUUCUCUCACAAUAAUUAAUUACGAUAGAACACAUUUUACGUUUGUUAACUUCGGAUUUGAAUUAGUUUGCACUAUUGUGAUUGCUACAAUAUUUUUGGUAACAUCAAUCCCUGUGGAGACGAUCUUGAAUACUCAUCACUUUAUUACUUGUUGUGUACACUUGCACAUUAACAAUAAUAGCAUUUGAUUAUAAAAUCAACCAAUAAGUUUUUGGCGCCGUUGCUGGGGGUUGAUUAUUUAUUUUUGAAGUGUGAAGUAAAUCUUGAUAGCACCAAAUUUGAUUUAAUUCAUUCUAUUUAUUGGCAGAUCAAUACUUGCAUGCGCAAAGACAGAUCUGUGAUAUUUCAGUUCGAUCCUGAGAUUGAAAUGACUGUUAGGAGAUUGCGAAGAGAACAAAGGAAGUCAAAAACUAUUUCAAGCAUGAAUAAUUUACAGGAUGAGGGAAAUUGAACCCUGACGGGCCCUUAUAACCAGUUAACAUUCAAGAAGAGCAGAAUGAACAUGCUAACGAGAGACAACCAGGCAAUAAUAAUAUUAUUUACAUGGCUAAUGACAGAGACAGAGCUAUUAGAGAUUAUGCUGUGUUAACUCCUCAAGUUGUACACCCUGAGAUAAUCAGACCUGAAGUAGAAGCUGUAAAUUUUGAGUUGAAGCCAGUGAUGUUUCAAAUGUUGCAAACAGUUGGUCAAUUAAAUAGAUUACCAAAUGAAGAUCCUCAUCUCCAUCUUAAGUUGUUCUUGGAAGUGAGUGAUGCUUUCAAGAUUGCUGGAGCAACACAAGACGCCUUAAAGCUGAGACUUUUUCCUUAUUUCUUAAGAGAUCGAGCAAGAGCAUGAUUCGUUACCAUCUGAUUCCAUCACUACAUGAAAUGAGUUGGCUGAUAAAUUCCUAAUGAAAUAUUUUCCACUGACAAAAAAUGCAAAGUUGCGGAAUGAGAUAACUUCUUUUCAUCAACUUGAAGAUGAAAGUUUGUACGAGGCUUUGGAAAGAUUCAAAGAACUGCUCAGAAGGUGUCCUCAUCAUGGCAUUCCUUGUUGCAUUCAAUUGGAAACUUUCUACAGUAGGUUGAAUCCAAGUACAAGGUUAAUGGUGGAUGCUUCAGCAGAUGGAGCCCUGUUAUCCAAAUCUUACACUGAAGCUUAUGAAAUUCUGGAGAGAAUUGCCAAUAAUAAUUAUCAGUGGCCAUCAACCAGGCAACCAGCAGUAAGAGGAUCAGUAGGGGUACAUAACAUAGAUGCAAUUACAACCUUAUCAGCACAAGUAACCUCAUUGACUAACAUGGUAAAGGCCAUGUUCUCUGCUCCAACAGUAGUGAAGCAAGUUGCAGAACUUUCUUGUGUAUACUGUGGUGAAGGACAUGACUUUGAUAAUUGUCAUGGAAAUCCAGCAUCAGUAACUAUGUGGGUAAUUUCAAUCGACAGCCUCAGAACAACCUAUAUUCAAAUACUUACAACCCUGGAUGGAAACAACACCCAAAUUUCUCAUGGAGCAGUCAGAAUCGAAAUGCUCCAGCAGUAAAUGGACAAAAUAUGAACAAUCAACCAUCUGGAUUUCAUCAGCAGAGUCAGGGGAAAAAACAUAGCAAUCAGGAUCCAAUCAUUUCACUGGAAGCAUUGAUUAAGGAGUACAUUACAAAGAAUGAAGCAAUUGUGCAGAGUCAAGCCGUAUCCUUGAGGAACCUGAAAAAUCAAAUGGGACAACUUGCCAUAGCAAUGAGUAGCAGGACUCAAGGAAGUUUCCCUAGCAACACAGAAGACCCUAGGAGAGAGGGUAAAGAACACUGCAAAGCAAUUAAUUUGAGAUCUGGAAAAAAUGUUAAUAUCCUAAUUGAUGUGAUUAACAAGGGUAAGAAAGUUAAUUCCUCACAAAAACCACCUCAAGAUGGAAGCAUGUUACAACAACCCAACCAUCAAAACACUAGUUACAUGGGCCAAGCUACAGCAACUGCAGAGGGAGUUCAAUCAGAACAUGUUGAAAAAGAAGUUGCAACACCAGUAGCCACGGCCUACACCAAGCCAAACAAACAGAGUUUGGUACCUCCUAAAGCUACCCAGCAGUUUAGACAUCCACCACCUUUCCCACAGAGAUUCCAGAAGCAAAAAUAAGACAAACAGUUCAGUAAAUUCCUGGAAGUGCUGAAGCAAUUACACAUAAAUAUACCUUUUGUGGAAGCCUUGGAGCAAAUGCCAAAUUAUGUGAAAUUUCUAAAAGACAUCUUGGCACGAAAGAGAAUGCUGGGAGAGUUUGAAACUGUUGCUUUAACACAGGAAAGCAGUCAUAUGCUCCAAAGUAAGAUUCCUACAAAAGUGAAAGAUCCAGGAAGUUUUACAAUAUCAUGCUCUAUAGGAACUAGGUAUACUGACAGAGCACUUUGUGAUUUGGGAGCUAGUAUUAAUUUAAUGCCAUUACCUGUAUUUAAGCAGCUGGGAGUAGGGGAAUACAGACCAACAACAGUCACUCUGCAAUUAGCUGACAGAUCUCAUGCAUACCCUGAAGGAAAAAUUGAGGAUGUACUGGUGAAGGUGGACAAAUUCAUCUUCCCAGUAGACUUCAUUGUACUAGACUUCGAAGCUGAUAAAGAGGUGCCCAUUAUACUUGGAAGACAUUUUCUAGCAAUUGGAAAGACUUUGAUAGAUGUGCAGAAAUGAGAGCUCACCAUGAGAGUAAAUGAUCAGCAAGUCACAUUUAAUGUACUAGAGGCUAUGAGAAGUCCUGAUGAAGUAGAAGAUUACAAUUUCCUAAGUGUUGUGGAUUUUGUUGUAACAGACAGAAUGGACAGAUGCUGCAGUAAUGAAAUCAACAAAGUCACCACCUUUGAGAAUGUAGAAGAGGAAGAUGUUGCAGAAAAUCAGAUAGAUUGGAUGAAAGAAAAGAAAUCUGAUAGGCACAACAGGUUUAUUGAGCAUCUGAAUCUUUCAGACAGGAAAGUAAAAAUAACUUUACCAUAUAUUGAAUCACCUCCUAGUCUUGAAUUAAAAUUGUUAUCUUCACAUUUGAAGUAUGUUUAUCUUAGUCAAAACAACACACUCCCUGUGAUCAUUUCUUUUACUUUGGAUACAGGUUGAGAACAGAGUUUAGUAGAUUUGUUGGGAAAAUACAGUAGAGCAAUUGAAUGAACCAUGGAAGACAUCAAGGGGAUAAGCCUAUCAAUAUGCAUGCAUAAAAUCCUGUUAGAAGAUUGCUACAGCAAUUCGGUGGAGCACCAGAGAAGGUUGAACCCUAUUAUGAAAGAAGUGGUGAAGAAGGAAACCAUCAAAUGGUUAGAUGCUGGACUCAUAUACCCAAUAUCAGACAAUUCGUGGGCGAGCCCAGUUCAAUAUGUUCCAAAGAAGGGAGAGAUAACUGUGAUAGCUAAUGGGAGGGAUAACUGUGAUAGCUGAUAAGAGAGAUGAACUUAUUUCUACAAGGACAGUGACUGGAUGGAGAGUAUGUAUGGAUUACAGGAAGCUUAAUAAAGCCACAAAGAAAGACCACUUCCCACUCUCAUUCAUAGAUCAGAUGUUGGACAGACUUGUUGGAAAACAAUACUAUUGUUUCCUAGAUGGGUAUUCAGGCUACAACCAGAUUGCUAUAGCUCCAGAAGAUAAGGAAAAGACUACAUUUACUUGUCCUUAUGGAACAUUUGCCUUCAGAAGAAUGCUCUUUGGGUUGUGCAAUGCUCCAGCAACUUUUCAGAGAUGCAUGAUGUCUAUUUUUUCUGAUAUGGUAGAACAAACUUUAUAAGUUUUCAUGGAUGACUUUUCAAUUUUUGGAGUGACAUACAAUGAUUGUUUACACAACUUGGAAGAAGUUCUUAAAAGAUGUGAGAUGACUAACUUAGUACUUAAUUGGGAAAAAUGUUAUUUCAUUGGGCAAGAAGAAAUAAUGUUGGGUCAUAAGGUGUCCAAGAAAGCCAUUGAGGUAGACAAAGCCAGGAUAAAGGUAAUAAAUAAACUGCCACCCGCCACUUCAAUAAAGGGUAUAAGGAGUUUUUUGGGCCAUACUGGAUUUUAUAGAAGAUUCAUUAAGGAUUUUUCUAAGGUAGCUAAACCAUUAUGCUCAUUGCUGGAACAUGACAAGCCCUUUCACUUUGACAAAGAUUGUCAUCAAGCAUUUGGAGAAUUAAAGAAAGCUCUGAUCACUGCUCCAGUAGUUAUAUCUUUAGACUGGAUGUUACCAUUUGAAUUGAUGUGUGAUGCUAGUGAUCAUUCUGUUGGAGCAGUAUUAGGGCAAAAAAAGGAUAAGGUUUUUCACUCCAUAUACUAUGCAAGUAAAACUCUUACUCAAACUCAAAUCAAUUACACCACUACAGAGAAAGAGUUGCUAGUAGUAGUAUUUGUUUUUGACAAAUUCAGGGCCUACUUGGUGGGUACUAAAGUGACUGUAUAUACAAACCAUGCAGCCAUCAAAUACUUAAUUUCAAAGAAUGAUGCCAAGCCAAGAUUAAUCAGAUGGAUCUUAUUGCUUCAAGAAUUUGAUCUGAAAAUUAAAGAUAGAAAAGGGACUGAGAAUCAAGUAGCAGACCACCUGUCACGGCUGGAAGCAAAUACAAGUACAUUGACAAGAAAUGACAUCACUGAAACUUUUCCUGAUGAACAGAUGUUGGUAGUACAUCAAGCACAGAUGCUGCAGUCAGGAUCUCCAUGGUAUACAUAUUUUGCUAACUACUUGGAAGUGGAUUGCUACCACCUGAGCUGAAGUUCCAAGAGAAAAAGAAAUUUCUUCAUGAUGUAAGAAGUUAUCAGUGGGAUGACCCACAUUUAUAUAAGCUGUGCUCAGAUCAAGUAAUACGAAGAUGUGCUGCAGAAGGAGAGAUUCCCCACAUACUGGAGUCAUGCCAUGCUGCAGCAUAUGGAGGACAUUUUGGUGGUCACAGAACAGCUGCUAAAGUUUUGCAAUCAGGUUAUUACUAGCCUACCAUUUUUAAAGAUGCUUAUGAAUUUGUUAAAUAUUGUGACAGGUGUCAAAGGACAGGGAACAUAACUAGAAGACAUGAAAUGCCAUUGACCAAUAUUCUAGAAGUGGAAGUUUUUUAUGUAUAGGGAAUAGAUUUUAUGGGACCUUUUCCACCAUCCUUUGGGAACUUGUAUAUCCUUGUUGCUGUGGAUUAUGUCUCCAAGUGGGUAGAGGCUGCAGUAUUACCUACCAAUGAUGCUAAAGCAGUGGUGGUUUUUCUUCAGAAAAAUAUUUUUUCCAGGUUUGGCACUCCUAGAGCAAUUAUUAGUGAUGAGAGUACUCAUUUUUACAACAAAGUCUUUGCUGCAGCUAUGGUAAAAUAUGGAGUCAGACACAAGGUAGCAACAACAUAUCACCCACAGUCCAAUGGUUAGGCUGAAGUGUCCAACAGAGAAAUUAAAAAGAUCUUAGAAAAAAUGGUGAACCCAACAAGGAAGGAUUGGUCUUUGCAAUUACAUGACUCUCUAUGGACCUACAGAACAACAAAAAAACUCCACUUGGCAUGUCUCCUUACCGAAUUGUUUAUGGGAAGGCUUGUCAUUUGCCACUAGAGCUAGAGCAUAACGCACAUUGGGCACUGAAGAAAUUAAAUUGGGACAUUCAUGCUGCAGCAGAGCAAAGAAAGCUUCAACUUUGUGAGCUUGAUGAAUUACGGCUAUUUUCAUAUGAAAAUGCUAGAAUCUAUAAAGAAAGGACAAACCACUGGCACGACAAGCAUAUUCAACACAGACAGUUCAGCCCUGGUCAACUAGUGCUGCUCCGCAAUACAAGACUAAGAUUAUUUUCAGGAAAGCUAAAAUCAUGAUGGUUUGGAAUUUUUAGGCUGUUAAAAUGUUAUCCUCAUGGAGCUGUUGAUCUUUUAGAUGAACAAACAGGUCACAAAUUUAAAGUUAAUGGACACAGGGUUAAGCAUUACAUACACCCAGCAACAGAUUGUUCAAAGGAGGUUUUACUCCUUAAAGAACCCAGCUAUUGAGCAGUGAAAGAAGGUCAGGCUGAAGGACCUUAAAUCAAGCGCUCCAUGAGAGGCAACCCAUUGUGGAGAUAGCCACUUCAAACCAAGUUUGAUCAUCUUUGGUUUUGUUGACGGUUCUCCCUUUCUUCCAUUUUAUUUAAUUUUGUUCUUUAAUUUAAGUUACUUAGUUUUAUCUUUUCACAUUAUUGCAUUUUUUUUAUAUUGCUAUCAUUUGAUCUCUUUAUUUUUAAUUAUAUUUUUAGAAUCGAUUUUAGUUUUUGUGGUAAGUAUGAGUGGCAUUAGAUUUUCAUUUUAACCAGUGGGGUUGUAUGGUGACAGAGUGCAGAGGCAAGCCACGUGUCAAAGAGCAUUGGAGGGACGUAUGUAAUCGUUGCUAGAGCAAGCUGCAACACCUAAUAUUACCAUUACAGUAAAUUAAAAAUUAGAGCCUCUCACUUACCGUUGGAGAUAAAUCAUGAUAGAUGGCGGCAUGGAUUUGGAUAGCAAUUGCGAAGAAAUCUCCGAAAUUAAUGCAUUAAUUUCCCUGGCCUAUGUUUUAGGGAUAUACAUAUUAAAUUCAAAAUAUUUUCUUCCCUUAUUUAUCUGUAGUUACCAGAUUUAUCUUCACUUAAAGUCCACUAUAAAAGGGAGUCACUGUGCGUAGUGAUCUACGGCACUAUUCCCCAUCUCCUUCGCAAAUACAACUCUCAUAAUUCUUAACCUCUUCUUCUCAUUUUACUCUCAGAUUGUUACUGCUAUAGCAAUGCCAAGGUAUAAGAAAAUAGCCAGCCGCCUCAAAGAUCCUUCACGCUUCCAGAGUUACCACGCCGAAGAAAAAUAUGAAGAAUUCGUAAGAUUCUGGAAGAAAAGUGGUUUCAAUUUCCAGAGCGACUCAUCGGAAUUGUGCAAACAAUACACAAUGCUGCAGUAAAGCGUGGAUGGUUGGACUUUUGCAACCACCCUCGAAAUCCUGUGCUACCAGUAGUAAAGGAAUUUUACGCCAAUUUGGUAAGCCCUGAUCAGCACAACAUUUGGGUAAGAAACACACUUGUUCCAUUAGACUCCCGCGUUAUAAAUGCUUUUUAUAAUUUACCUGCUGAAAUUAAUUGUGAGUAUGCCAAGUUGCUUGAUAAAUUGACCCCAAAGAAAUGGAACACCAUCUUCAUAACUCUUACAAUUGAAGGGGCAUCAUGGGCUAACGAGGAAGGGCGUGUAGUUAAUAGGAUAGAUUUGAAACUUAUUGUUAAGGUUGGGUGAAAUUUUUGAAAUCUAGGCUUAUGCCAACCACUCAUACUACUACGGUUUCACAAGAGAGGUUGGUCUUGUUAUAUGUCAUUGUUCGAGGGCUUCUCAUAGAUGUAGGUAGCAUCAUCGAAAAAGAAAUCAGGGAUUGUGCAGUUAAGAAUCAUAAAACUGAUGCUCUACUAUUUCCUUCGCUCAUCACCAGCAUUUGUGUAGUAUCCGGUGUUCGUCUUGACGUGAGAAAUGACCAUAUCAAGAAUGAUGGUGCCUUUACGACACGUACCAUUGAUAGAGUUGUUGGUGAGAGUACUGGAACAACAACUGAACCAACUACUGUAACAAGAGCAAGACGAGUUAUUGGUUUAGAAUAAACAAUUCAGGUGCUCAGCAAAGAUCAGCAGAGGGAAAAUGAUCGGUUUUGGAGCUAUUUACAGCACCUGAACAACCAACUACACUAAUUUGCUCUGUACAUGAAACACACUCACCGGAACUUCCUUGAUUCAUUGCUCCAGCAAUACAAUUUUGACACCAACACCACAGGUACUCCAGCAGCAGCCAGUGAAGAAGCCACUGCCACAGAUGAACUAGAAGAAGAAGCUGCAGCCGAACCACAAGCAGAGGUAGAAUCAGAAGAUGCUGAAACAUCUGAUCAACCUGAGGAAGAAGGUGACAAGUCUGCAACUGAUAGCUCACCCAUAGAGGCAGAGGACAACUCUGAGAAAGAACGUGAGGAACUUUCCAUUCCAACUCAUUCCAAAACCAGGAGGAAGAGGAAAACCCUGAAGAGGAACCUUCCAUUCCAGUCAUUGCGGGCAAGGACAAGGGCAAGGGCAAGGGCAAGGUAAAAAUAGCAACAUCUCCAGCCUCUGAAGAUGAAAUGGAGCAAAUCGAUGCAGAGCUAGCUGCUGCAGUAACCAGAGUUACGCCUACACCUGCAGAAGCCAAACAGCUACUUGAUAUCAUUGCUGCCAUCACAGCUGAAGGUCAGGCAGCUGAUGCCUCAACUCCAAUUCCUCCACAGAUGACUCCUAGCCAACCUGUUCGUACCAGUCCGUGAUAAUCCAGUAAAAGAAAAGGCAGUACGUAUAAAGGCACUGCUACAACAGCCUCGCCUCAACCAAAACGGACCAGGUCGGUGUCAACUACACAACCUACCCCAGCCGCAACUCCUCUCGCCAGCCCAGUGACGAAAAAGACAAAGACAUUGCCAGUCACUUCCCCACAAGUUUCACCAAAUGAUAAGCUGCGCAGUGCAUCCAAGAAACGCUGAUAUCAUCCCGUCAUUUGCAGCAGUCCCAACCACAUGGGAGUAUCCCUACCUUGCUAGUUAAUUUAUUGUUAAAAAAAAACUUUUCUUUCAGUUUUAUUGUUAAAGAAAAACUUUUAUUUCAGUAUGUUUUUCAAAUUUUGUGGUAUUUUCUAAUGUCUUCCAUGUCCUUGUCCACUUGUGUGCCUUUGUUAUGUAUGCUUGUGAGGACAUAGCAACUCUCAAGUUUAGGGGGGUUGUGUUUCCAAAUGUUUGUGUUUAUGUGUAUGCUUGUGUUGUGUGUUGUGUGAAGCUCUGUUAUCUAAUAUUUGUGUAUGGAUUUGAAAACCUAAUGAAGAUAUAUUGAGUGUUAUUCAAGAUUUAAGAGAAUGCCAAGUAGAGAUAGUUAUAGAUGGAGGUUGAAAUUAUGUCCUGACACUUAGACUUUGGUUGAAUUGUAUGAGAUUGCUAGAGCAAAGCCAAAAGAAUAGAAAAGAGCUUAAGUUUGGGGGGGAAAAUAAGUUGAUUGACUGUGAUAUCUAUGUAAUAAACUCUGUUUCAAUGGCUCAAGUUGCUGAAUAACCAGAUCUUAGUAUGUACCCCAUAUGCAGAAUUGUGUUCAAAGGUAGCAAGAGUUAUGAGCAAUGCUGUAGCAUUUAAAAAAAAAAAAGCCCUCUGUCUAAGGCAUUGAGUAGCCAGGUCUGUUCAUGAGCCCCAUGUUCAGCCUUGAAUAAAAAAUAUCUCUAGAUAAGACUAUAUUACAGAUAUUGCUACAGCAACUCUGAUCUGUGCAUGGUUUGAGUAAUUGGGUGUCAUCAUUACAAUUGAUUGACAUUCACAUGAAAAAUAAAUGUUGCAGUGAGGAAGUUGAAUACUCUCCAGUUUCUCAAUCUUAAAAUCAUCACAGUUCGAGUAUGUGAAAUUUAUGCUGCCCCAUAUAUGAUGAAGUUUUAUCACUGCUGAAAUUCAUGCAGUCUCUUAGUGAUGUUAUAGCAUCUCUAGAAUACAAUCAAAAUAGCACACACACACAAUGGACAGAAAGAAGCUUAAGUCUAGAACUGGUUUACUAUAGUCACGUUGCAUGAUUGGGAUUGUGAUCUGAAGGUGGAAGAAUCCUUGCAAAUUUGAUAAAAGAACUAAAGUUAUUUUGCAUGAUUGUUUGUGUGAAGUAUUAGUAUGUUGUCAUUACUUGAGGACAAGUAAUGGUUUAAGUUUAGGGGUGUGAUAACUCUAGGAAAUGAGAGUUAUUACAUCAAUUAUAGACUUAAAUCAAGAUUACUUAGAGAACAAAUAAGGUGUUUUUAUUACAUUUUGGUUAUAUUUUGCAUAAACAUUCAUUUUAGUUAAGUUUUAAUAAGUUUUGUUUGAAUCAAAGUAAUUGUUGCUAAAAACAGGUGCAUAAUUGUAGGUUUUUAGAAAGUCUUAAUUCAUGAGAGGAUGGUGAGACAGUGGAUGAGCAAGAGGAGGAAAGAAGAUAGCUGCAGAAGAAGUAAAGCACAAUCGGGAAUAGUGCAGUGUUGUAGCGGAUGUUAGAGCAACCAGUGCUAUAGCAAUCUGGGAGCAAUGCGGGAGAAAAUUUAGGCGCGGGUCAGCUGCAGAAUCGUGAUUUGCAUGUUUCCUAAUUUAACUCAUGCACGCCUAUGGACUUUUGUUUUAUCCUAGUUUGCAGUAUAAAAGAGAGGCGUUCACGACAUAGAGAGGCGGCAAGAGGAAUUAUCAUAAAAAUCAUUAAAGAGAAAAAGAGAAGAAGAUCAAAAUUGAAGAGUGCUGUUUCGGCAACAUUGAGGAAUCUGGCAGAAUUAUUCGAAUUUGUCUUUCACUGUGCUCAACUGAUAUUUAUCUUCUUCCUUUGAUUGUUUUAAUGUAUCCCGUGAACAACAUAUUUAUGUUUUUUUUUCUUAUUCAAAAUAUGAACUAUAUUUGCUUGUAGUUGAGUGACAAACAAUCCAAUGGGUUCUUCACUGUUCUUAUGUGUUUGAUUUUUCUACAAAUUUUUUUUCCAAGUCCAUUGAUUUUCUGCCUCUCUUACUAAUCAUGUUAGGCUUGGAAAUAUCCACUUUGGUAUUAUUAUUUUAUAAAUUUUAAUUAUUUUAAUUAUUUAUUAAUUAUAUUAAUUAUUAUUAUUAUUAUUGUUAUUAGUUUUAUUAUUUUAAUUAUUAUUAUUGAUUAAGACUAGAAAGUGUACAUUUGAUCAAAGUUAAAAUUAUCAUUUUCCACUUACAUUGUUGAUAAGACUAACAAUGGCAUCAAAUUUACAAAUCCCUAACACAUUUUAUGAAUUUUCUAUUUUUAUUGGUUUUAAAGUAUGAUUUUUGUGCUUUGUAGAUAAAUCCCUAAAUUCAUGAUGUUUGGAUCAAAAAAGUGAACGUGAAAUUUAGAUUCUGGAGACUCAAAAUCCUUUAGAAGAAUUGCUACCCUUUUGAUCCAACAUUAAUUAUAAACGGUUGAGAUCAUGCUAUGUGUCUAAGCUAAAGUGCACCUUAUUGUACUAGAUUUAACAGUUAUCAAUUUGAUAGAUCAACUAUCUUGACAAAUGAGCCUAUGGAAGAUCUCAUUUUGACCUCAUUUAUAGCCAUUGAUUAUAUUGAAUUCGACUAUUCAUAAUGGUUGCAAUUUUAAACCCUUGGAUUAUAUUAGAAAAAGUUUCCUCAUAAUCGAUUCCCUCUUUCUGAGUAAACCCUUUGGCUACUAAUCUUGCUUUAAAUGUUUCCACCCUUCCAUCUACUCCUCUUUUUCUCUUGUAGAUCCACUUGCACCCUAUAGGUUUUACCUCAUUUGGUGCCUCUACAAGUUCCCAGACUUUAUUGGAAUACAUAGAUUCUAUUUCUUGAUUCAUGGUCUUUUUCCAAAAUUCAACAUCUCUAUCUAUUAGAGCUUCGUUGUAACUAGUGGGAUCUUGUACAUGUUCAUCUGAGAUAGCCGUAUAGGUUUCUCCUAAAAGCAUGUAUCUUGCAGGUAACUUAGUUACCUUCCCACUACGACGAGGUUCUAAAAGUGAUGGUUGUUCAGGGUUAAUCCUGUGUUGAUCAUCUGGUUGUUGCUGUUCUUCCUGUUCUGUAACAGGCGUUGAAAGCUAAGCAUCAACCUGAUCACCUGACAGUUCUUCGAGUAUUACCUUACUCUUAGGUUUGAAGUUAUUCAUAUAGUCUUCCUCGAGGGAAGUGAAAUGUGUGCUCACGAUCACUUUCCUAUCUUGAGGACUAUAAAAUAAACCUCCCAUUGUUCCUUUGGGAUACCCCACAAACAUACAAACCUCAGAACGUGAAUCCAUUUUGUCUGCCUUUGGUUUCAGCACAUGUGCUGGUGAUCCCCAAAUAUGGACAUGUCGUAAACUUGGUUUGCGACCUGACCAUAAUUCUAUUGGGGUUUUAGGCACUGACUUAGAUGGAACUAAGUUCAAAAGGUAAACUACAGUUUCCAGUGCUAGUCCCCAAAAAGAGAUUGGUAAUGACGAAUAACUAAGCAUAGAUCUCACCAUAUCCAAAAGAGUUCUAUUUCUUCUUUCAGCUACCUCAUUUUGUUGUGGUGUUCCCGGGGCAGUCAACUGAGAUAUAAUCCCAUUUUCAACUAGAUACUCUUUGAAAUCUCCUGAGAGAAAUUCACCACCUCGAUCAGAUCGAAGUUUCUUUAUGUUCUUAUCUAAUUGCUUUUCUGUCUCAGCCCUAUACUCUUUGAAUUUCUCAAGAGCUUCAGACUUAUGACGCAUCAGAUAAACAUAACCGUAUCUUGAGUAAUCAUCAGUGAAAGUGAUGAAAUACUCAUAACCUCCUCGAGCUUGUACAUUGAUUGGUCCACAUACAUCUGUAUGUACCAAUUCAAGUGGUACUGUUGCACGUACUCCUUUAGCCGAGAAUGACCUUUUGGUCAUUUUCCCUUCUAAACAGGAUUCACAGAGUGGCAAUGAUUCAUUUUCUAAUGGACCCAAGAGCCCAUCUUUGAUCAUUCUCUGUAUUCUAUUUUGGUUUAUAUGACCCAAGCGUAAAUGCCAGAGGUAACAUUGGUUGGAAGAAAUAUUUUUUUUCUUAGAUAAAUGUGUAUGCUCAUCAUUAUUUAUCACUGUGUCAUGCAUAUAAUGGAUCAUUGGACUUAAAUGAUAUAAAUUAUCUUCCAAUGUACUAGAACAAAUAAGUCUCUUAUUAUGAAAAAUAGAAACAGAGGAUCCAAAAUUUACAGUGUACCAUUGCUUUGACAAACAAGCUAAUGAAAUUAAAUUCCUCUUAAUGUCUGGAACAUAAAGACAAUUAUUCAAAACUAAAGUCUCAUUAUUAAAAGAUAAUAAAACAGAUCUAGUCUUCACUGCUGACACGAACUGUCCUGUCCCUAACUGCAGCUUGACGCUUUCUUCACUUAUUUUCCUGGUUUCCUGAAACCAAUAAAGUGAAUUACAAAUAUGAUUAGUUGCUCCUGAAUCCAACACCCAAGUGUCAAUAGGAUUCUGAACUAAACAGGCCUCAAUUACAAAAAGAUUUCCCAUACCUGAUUUCACAAUCUUAGGGCAAUCCUUUUUCCAGUGACCUUUCUGUCCACACUUAAAGCAUUUGCCUUUCGGCUUGCCAUCUUGCUUGGUAGACGGUUUCUUUUUCCCAGCUUUCUUCUUACCUUUGCCUUUCGGCUUAGGCCCAGAAGAUGAACUUUUUUCAGUAAUAUUUAUGCUUCCCAGAGAUUUCUCAGCACGAUAGAUCUCUUCAGCAGAAUGGAGUUCGUUAAUCAAUUCAGUUAAGGUCAUGUUUCUUUUGUUCAUGUUAUAAUUGACCUUAAACUCCUUGAAUGUUUCUGGUAGAGAUUCUAGCACCAUGUCAAUCUUUGAGUUAUCAUCGAUUUGUGCUCCUUGAAUCUCAGCCUCAUUCAAAUAGUCCAUCAUUUUGAGGACAUGAUCAUGAACUCUUAUGCCCUUCCCCAUUUUACUGUUCAUAAUUCCUUUCAGCGCUGCUUGUCUUGCUGAGCGAGUACUCUGCCCGAACAUCUGUUGGAGACUAUCCAUUAUUUCAGUGGCAGUCUCCAAGUUCUGAUGUUUGCUCUGCAGAAUAUUAGAAAUCGAGGCUAAAAUGUAGCACUUUGCCAUUUCAUUGGCCUUUUGCCAUUUCUCAUAAAGCCUCCUCUAAUUUCUAUGAGCAUCAUCCGCUGGAACUGGAGGGCAUGGCUGGGUUAAGACAUAUUUAUAAUUUUCAGCAGUCAGGACAAUGAAUAGAUUUCUUUUCCAAUCUAUAUAGUUCUCCCCAGUGAGUUUGUUUUGACUCAGAAUAAUAGUAAGUGGGCUCAGGGAAGACAUUUUCUGAAAAAUAAAACAUCCAUGCAUAAAUAAUUUGAAAUAAUAUUCACAAUAAAUGACAAAAAAGCAUAAAACCAUAAAUGCAUUUUAAUUUAUUGUAACGAUAAUCUAGUUCCGCUUUGACAAGCUAUCCGGUGGGGAAGUCAUGUCUAUACUUACUAGACCCAAUUACCCAUUGGAUUAUUUACUUUCAUGUAGAGACAUGAUAAAUAAUUAUCGUUAUCUUUUUGGGCCUAAAUUUGUUAACAGAGCUUCGUUGGGAAGGUUAAUAACAAAUUUUAGUUGAGUGUAUAACCAUUAUUUCAAUCUAUGUAUUUUUCAUAUCAAUAGUCACCGUUGGGGUGAACAAUCGAUUGAAAAAUAUUUCAAUUUUAUCUUUGAAGAAGUUCAUCAAAUAAAAUAUCUAAUAUAUAUACCCUCCGAAGGGAGCAUCACCGUAUCAUGAAGUCGAGGUAUAUAUAUAAUUUUAUUAUUGAAGUAACAAUGGAGCCCGUGGAAAAAUUAUCUUGAAUUUUCCCUCUCCCACUCAAUAUUUUAAAAUUGGCUUUUCCUUUUUAAAACAUACAUAUUGUUAAUUGCAUGCUUCCUAUAAUAUUAUCUAGAUGAUAUCAAAUAUUAUUAAGCAUACAGAAAUUUCAAACAAUAUUAUGAAAUUCAUUAUUAAUGAAUGACAUGUAUCAUUAUGCAUAGAGUGGCACUACCUAUUCUAUAUGACAUUGUUAUCAUGGCAUGUAAUCAUCCAAAACAUAACAUAUAGAAAAAUAAUUAAAUAAUCUUAAUUCAUAGCUUUCCUAAUAAUGAAAAAUACAUUAACCCUAAGCCUAAUCUUCAUUGGGCUUCUUGUCAAUGUCCAUCUUUCAUAAUCUUGUCUUUGUUAAUUGGCUAGGGGAAAUUGGAUUUUUAAAUUUAUAAUUGGUCCAAUUUUAAUUUUUGGAAGGAAUAAAUAAAUAAUUAAAAUUUUUUACUAAAAUAAAUUUUUUGGACCAAAAAUAAAUUUAUUGUGUUCAAUUUUAUCCAUGCAUUUUAAUCCAUUAAGGCCAAAUAUCAAUUGGGCCUAAAACUAGGAUUCUUUAAGCCCAAAACUGUUUUUGGACUUACAUGCAAAAAAUUAAAACUUAUCAGCCCAAAGAGAAAAUCUAUAGAACUAUAGGGAUCGUAAUGAUAAAAAUCAUUAAAACCCUAAAUCCAUAUUUUUCUCUCCCCAGCCGCCAUCACCACAAAGGGCAGCCACUGUUCACAAUUUCCAGCCAUCUCUGACGUCGAGUUUGCUGCCGCCAUCGCACCGGAAACGUACCAAACACCUCCCUCGCGCUGCACGGAAAGCUCCUGCUCGCGCUGCCUGCUGCGUGUGCUGGCUGUUGCACGCGAGCGUGCGCUAGCUGCUGCACGCACAACGUGCAUUGCUGGCUGCGCGAGCAGCACGCGCUGGCUGCUGGCUUGCAGCGCGCGCUUGCUGGCAGCAUGUGCUGCUGGCCGCGCGCUGCUUGCUGUUGGUUGCCGCUGUCAAAAUUUUCGGCCUCCGUCGCUUUGAUCUUGAAAAUCCGAGAUUAAUUUACAAAUUUCCUAGGCCAAUUUUUGGCUUACAAAAAUUCUAUAACAGUAAAAUAAAUCAAGAGGGAAACAUGAUGAUAAAAAACUACCCCUCUUAUGUUCAGGAUAAGCUCAGAUCAGCAUCGGAUCCAUUUCCCAAUUUUUCUUCCCCAAAUUCUGUUUCUGUACACUGUAAGUAUUUUUCAUCCUCAUUUUCUUGUAUCCAUUUUGCGUUAUGUCACCAUUUAUUUUCAUCUCAACAUUUGGUUUAAAUUAGAUCACCGGAGGAAAUACGAUGGGAAGAACACAGUGUUAGAGAAAAAUCAGGUUUUUAAAUUUUUUAUAAAACCUUUUAAGGACCGCUCUCAUAUAAUGUAUAAGAAUUUGUAAUCUAGAAAUCGUACCUUGAAAAUCCGAUUUGCCUUUUUUUCCGUUGAAGUGAUUUAGGCUCCUAGAUCACGAUCCGCCACCACCACUCCUGUUAGAUCACGAACUGUCACCAAUGAUCUUCCAGGUUAUGACUCAGGUUCGAUCUGCACUUGACGUGUGGGCGCCUUUAUCACUACCAAAGCAACUAGCACGAGAAAUUUUUUCUCUCAACAAUAGAGAGAAAAAUCUUUUUCUCUGAUCUGUAUAAAGUAGCUUCUCUUCUUUCUUUAGAGAAAAAUAAGCCUUUUAUAUCACCCUUUAGUGAAAAUCCUAGGCUCCAAAUAAUGGCCAAAAUAAAACUCACGUUACUUUUCAUUUAAUAGGGGACCCACCAUGUAAAAUAACAUAAGGCCCUUUACACAUAAGCUUAUUAAAUGGAGCCUCCCACUAAAUGAUAUAUUUAGGCUUUUGACCCAAAUAGCUAGUUAUCUUGCUUAUUAGUCCAGUAAUGGUGCAGUCAAUUAAAUGAGCUAACCCGGGGAUCAUUUGGGAACAUACAAUAGUGGCUAUAACAAUUAGGCCUGUAAUUAAACUAGCCUAAUUAUUUAAUUCCAAAUCUACUCCACUAAAAGAUUGGAACUAACUUCCAUAAUUGUAUGCUCGAAUAAUAAUUCGUCCCAAGCCACAUUGAUUUCUUUACUGCACAAUCCUUUGUACCACAUCGUUAAUUAAAUUGAUAUCUCAACUGUCCAAUCAAUUUAAUAACAUCUUAUUCCUUGAUCCUUACUGGUUUUCUCUAAUGAUCAUUUUCAACAUACUAAAUAUGUUGACACACUCUGGCCAGAGAAUUCUAUGAUCAAGUGCCGAAAACCCAUCAAGAGAUGUGUUGUACAAAUUCUAUAUUGUUAAUCCAUAACUCCAAUACUCAUAAUUGCUCCCACCAAGAUACCGAGUAAUCUUGACCACAAGGAUGUGUCUUGCCCAUUGGUAACUCAAAUGGAAUAACAAUUACAAUCAUGAAAUCAUAAUUAACUCAAGAUUAAGAUUACAGUAAAAUCAAUGCCUAUGAGAUUUAAUAAGUCUGACAGUUAUUACAAAGUUAAUUAAAUCUCAUAUGUGAUCCUGUUCAAUGUAGUCGUACUAUAUCAACAAAUUCAUACAUGAUUAAGACAAAUCAUUCAAUGAAUUUAUUACAGUCUAUACCUAAAUAAAGUGCCCAACUUUAUUUAUCAACUGCGAACUAAAUUUAUUUAAUCAUAAGAUAACUUGUAUUUAUGUCUUCUGUGAAUCCACAUGGUGAUCACAUAAAUACAUAUAAUAUGAUUAAAUGGACUUUAAUACAAAUAUUAAUGCAAUUAAGAUAUUUGAAUAAAAUACCUCAUCUAUUUUAUUAAUCAAAAAAAUUAUUUAUUACAAUUAAAAAAACAUAUAUGCUUUUAAAGAGCAUAUUUUCCCAACACACAGAUCAUCUCAAAGAGCACCGUCUGUGCAGCAAUUCACAAGGAACCAAACCUUAGAAUCGAUUUAACUCUAUGGGAUCUUAAGCUCAUUCAAUUUGAUACCAUUGAGAAAGGACUUCUCUUCCGCAAACCUUCAGAGGAUAACACCGAUACCAGCAGCUUGAACUUGAUCCACCACCUCAAGACCUCCCUUUCACGUACGCUAGACUACUUUCCCCCACUUGCCGGUCGCCUAGCCACCAUCGAGCAUCGUGAUGACAGCAACACAAUUUCUGUUUACAUAAAUUGCAACAAUGCCGGCGCAGAGUUUGUGCACGCCAUGGCCGAUGGAGUCUCUGUUGCAGAUAUCAUUACACCUGUUUAUGUUCCUAAUGAAACUGUUUACUCUUUUUUCCCACUAAAUGGAGUAACAAACUGUCAGUGUAUCUCCGAGGCCAAGCCGUUGCUUGGGGUUCAAGUGACAGAGCUUGUGGACGGAAUCUUCAUCGCUUGCACUAUCAAUCACUCCGUUGUUGACGGCACUUCCUUUUGGCAUUUCUUCAAUUCCUGGUCUGAAAUCUCACGGGGUUCUGAUUGUAUUUCAAAACUUCCAGUUCUCGAACGUGGAUUUCUCUCUGAUUCUGAAUAUUUUCCCAGUCGCCUCCCUCUCUGGAGCAUUGAACCUUCCGGAACUCACACUCCACCGCCUAAUUUGCGACAAAGGGUUUUCCACUUUACAAAGGAAAACAUUGCAAAACUCAAAGCAAAAGCCAAUGCUGAGAUUGGUAGUACCAACAAAAUCUCCUCUCUCCAAGCAAUCCUUUCCCAUAUUUGGCGAUCUUUUACUCGUAAUCGAUCUCUUGAUCCUGAUGAAGAAGUUCAUUUCAUGUUAGGAAUGGGAGUUAGACAAAGAUUGCAACCACCACUGCCACCAGAAUAUUUUGGAAAUGCAGCUCAGGUACUGGGAGAGUUCGCAUCCAUGAAAGCGAGAGAUCAACUUGAGCAAGGGCUUGGAAAUGUGGCAUUGAAAAUGAACAAGUUCAUCGCUGCGUACACAGACGAAAAGAUAAAGAACUUCUUGGAGUCUUGGGGAAAAAACCCUGAGAUCCUAACAUGGGAUAGCCUGCCGACGAAGAAUAAUGCUUGCUUCGUAAGUAGCUCGCCGAGGUUCAAUUUCUACGGUAACGAUUUCGGGUGGGGAAGACCAAUUGCAGUAAGGAGUGGUCCAGCGAACAAGGCUGCUGAGGGGAAGAUCACCCUGUUUGCCGGAGUGGAAGAAGGGAGUGUCGACGUUGAAGCUUGCUUUUUGCCUGAGACACUGCAAGGUAUGGGAAAUGAUACAGAAUUCAUGCAAUUGGUAUCUUAAUUGUUAAAAAUCUUCCGUGUUCUGGGGCUUUGCUCAUUAACCAUUAUAUCAAUGAAAGCUUACUUUUAAAUACAUUUUUUAUGAAUUAAUGUAGAUCAAAUUUAGUAUGACAUGUUUAUGUUUCUGAUCAAAUGAUGUAUUUUCAUUGGUCAUGUGAGAAGUAAAAGAGAUCCAACCGCAAGUUGCUUCUACCAAACAUUGACUUUCAUAUUAUUGGCGUGCCUUGGCAAAAGCCCAAUUAGGAUUUCAAUUAAAAUAUAUCUAAUUUUGAUAUUUUUGAAAAAUAAAGCCAUGGUGAAAUAAUUGACAUAACAUCAAUAUUAUAUCAGUAGUUCAGUGAUUUUUUUUUUCUUUUUGGGUACUUGCACCUUGCUGAUAUAGACUUUGUAAAUUAUUCUGAAUGCUUAACAUAUUUCUUUUAAUGUGAUCAAUAAAAGUUUUAAAAGCAGUCUAACAGAUUAAUGAUAAAUAAAUUUGUUUCAUAUUAAAAAUAAUUCUCGAUGACUUGAUAAUCCUGUGAAGAAGUUCCUUUCGAACUAUCGAUAGGAGUUAGAAUAAGAUUGCAACCAUCACUGCCGCCUGAUGAAUAUUUCGGAAAUGCAAUUCUAUAAAGCGGGAGAUCAAAUUGAAUAUGCGGCACUGCGAAUGAGCAAUGUUAGUGAAACUGAUAAAAUGUGAAGAACAGAGGAAACGAGUACAUGCUGUAACUAUGUAUUUGACAGCAGCUGAAUAGCUCACUCAGCUGACGUGGCUUAGUUAGUUAUUUUGAUUUAAGCAUUCUUCACAUGUGUGUAACAAAUUGCCAACAAUUAGUAACAAGUUGCUUUCACUUGCUAUAUAUAUGUAUAAUCUGUACUCAUUCGAUUAAUGAGAAGUUUUUACAAGUUUCCAUUAUGAGUUUUUCAUUCAUUUUCCUUUUAACUUUCUCGCUUCCCAAACACAAAUACUUGAGUUUCUAUCAUGGUAUCAGAGCCAUCAAUGGUGUUGUAAAAAAUUUUAAUAUACUCGUAAGCGCACGAAUGUAGAAUAAAAUAAUGGUAAUAAGGUCAAACCCACAGGGAUUAUUAUAAAUUAAAAAGUCUAAUUUAAAUAAAUUAAUAUUAAUUCUAACCUAGUUGAACAAAUUGAGUUUCUAAUAAAAUUUAACCAAUUAAACUAAGAAAACAAUUAAAACAAAGGAGAAUUUAAUAAGACAAAAAUUACUAAGGUUUCAGAAUCCACCACUAAUCAACUAGUAAUUACCUAAUUAUUAAUUAAUCCCCAAUUUUAGAGUGACAACUCGAAAUCAAUUUAUAUCAUCUCAUGGAUAUAACAAUUAAGCCCAAAUAAAAUUAUUCUUGUGUUGGUUCUUUUUCUUCUUAAUAAUAUGAUAUCUAAGCAUCCCAUGUAAACAUAUUGAAUAACAAAGAGUCAAAGUUUUCCGAAGCACUCUGUGUAAACAAUUUAAUGAAAGACACAGAAUCAAAGAUAAUCAUGUAUAAACUUUAAAGACUCAAGCAUAAAUUUAAUCGGAUAUUAAUUGUAACAAUCAAUAAUACAUGACAAAAUUGAUGAAAAUUUUUUAAUAACAUUCAACUAAUCAUGUGAAACACGAACCAUAAAUAUUAAAGAACAUAUGUAGAGAAUUAAUUAAAUAAAAAGAUAAUUAUUUCAUUAAAUAGGGUUUCAUCUUUAACCUCAGUAUAAAAAAAUUAGUUAGACAUACUAAAAUAGAGAAUAACAAAUAAAAUAAAAUCAACCAUGGAGAAGCCGAACUGUUGUUGCUGCUGCCGCUCCUCUUCAAAGUCAAAUACUCCCUCUUUUUCUCUCCUUUGGCGGCUGCCUUCUCAAAAGCCAAAGUUGGCUUUUUAUAAUGCUUAGCCACCCACUGACUUAACAAAGCCCACUCACCAAGCCCUUUUUAAAUUGUUUCCUUAUUAAGGGUUGAAAACUAGCCACACGUUUAACUUAAAAGUAAAAGGCCAAUUAAUAGUUUCUUCUUUUAAUGCCCUGCACAUGCAUUCCAAAUUGCCAAAUCUUUGCUUUCCAAAUGCAUGCCCACCGUUCAUUAUUUGAUGAGAUUGACUUCCAAUUUUGGUCUUCUUGACUUCCAUUAAUUCUUGACUGUAUUUUUGUCUUCUAAUUUAAUCUUUAUUCCUUCCCAAUUUGAACUUCUUCAUGCCCUUUUUAUCCUUAAUCUUCAAUUAAUUUCCUAUUCAAUAAAAUAAUUCAAUUAAUUAAAAAUAACAAAUAAAAAUAACUAGUAAAUAUGUAAUUACGGGUAAAGUAUGUAUAUAAAUUAUGAUCAUCAAAUGGCAAGCAUGAUUCAAUCCAAUACAUCCUCCUCUCCUUCAAAUAAUUUCCUACCUCAUAUCCUUCGUGCACCUCCUCCCAUUGGUCAUCCUAUGAUGACCAGAUCCAAGAAUGGCAUAUUCAAGCCAAAGUCUUAUCUAUGUGCUCUUUUAGCCUAAUCAUUUGAACUUUCCUCUGUCUCUCAAGCUUUAUCUGAUCCAUUAUAGUUCAAAGCCAUGCAAGAAGAAUUUCAAGCCUUACAAGCCAAUCACACAUGAGACUUGGUACUACCUACUGCUCCUGUUAAAGUGGUUGGUAACAAAUGGGUUUUUAGAAUAAAAUACAACCCUAAUGGGUCAAUACUAAAGUACAAAGCACGGCUGGUUGCUAAAGACUUCCAUCAGAUACAUGGUAUUGACUACACUGAAACCUUUAGUCUAGUAGUAAAAGCCUCUACUGUCAGCAUUACUGUUAUGAAUAAUUGGGUUCUUCGGCAAAUAAAUGUCAAUAAUGCUUUUCUAAAUGGUAUUCUUGAUGAGGAAGUGUAUAUGACACAUCUCGAAGGAUUUAUUGAUCCUCAUAAACCUUAGCGCAUAUGCAAAUUGAGGAAAGCUAUCUAUGGUUCGAAACAAGCUCCAAGAGCUUGGUUUGCCAGACUUAAAACAACAAUGCUUUCUCAGUGGCAUUUUUAGAGCUCCAAGUCAGACAAUUCACUCUUCUAUAAGAGAGAAAAUGGUCAUUUACUUUUGGUUUUGGUAUAUGUGGAUAAUAUUAUUGUUAUUGGUUCUAGCUCAGCGAAAGUUCAACAAGUAAUUCAAGAUAUGUAGAAGACUUUUGCCUUGAAGGAUCUAGGAGAACUCAACUAUUUUUUAGGCAUUGAAGUCUCAAAACUUUAAAAUGGCAUUCAUUUAUCCCAGGCUACGUACAUUGCUGAUAUUUUGGCAAAAGAUGACUUAGUUAAUUGUAGUCUAGUGCCAACACCUAUGUCUACAGGUCAGCAACUCACCAAAGACUCAGGUUCUGAAAUUUCAAAUAUUUCUCAGUAUAGAAGCAUUAUUAAGGCCCUACAAUAUGUUACUCUCACUAGACCAGAGAUAGCCUUUACUGUCAAUAAGCUUAGCCAGUUUCUAUCUAAUCCUAGAACUACACAUUGGGAGGCUUGCAAAAGGUUGUUAAGAUAUCUAAAAGGCACAAUUCAUUUUGGUCUUCAAUUUUACAAUUGUGGAGCUAUGCAAAUCAACUCUUUUACAUAUUCAGACUGGGCUUAUGAUCGGGAUGAUAGAAAAUCAGUAGUUGGUUUUGCUAUUUAUCUAGGUGCCAAUCUGGUUUUAUGGUCAUCCACGAAACAAUUAGCUGUCUCAAGGUCCAGUACAAAAGCUGAGUACAGAGCUUUGGCUCAUGCUGCAUCAGAGGUCAUUUGGAUAUAGUUUUUACUUGCUGAGCUAAGAAUUCAGCUAAGUACUACACCAAUUAUGUGGUGUGAUAACCAGGGAGCAAUUGCCUUAGCUUAUAAUUCAGUUUAUCAUGCUAAAACAAAGCAUGUUGAGCUGGACAUUCAUUUCAUCAAAGAUAGAGUGGGAUCAAAAGAAAUAGCUAUUUGUUUUGUGCAUAGUGAAGAUCAAACAACAAAUGUCUUAACUAAGGCUCUUACUUUCACUUAGUUCCAUUACUUGCGCAGUAAAUAAAAUGUUUAUCCCAGAAACACCAGUUCCAGAGGGGAUAUAAGUAAAGAUGAUAAUUUGUGAAGAAUAAAAUAAGGGAGUAAUGUGAAAAGCAGAAACUCCAGCUUAAGAGGGGAUGUUAGUGAAACUGAUCCCUUGGAGUCCUGGAGACAAAACCUUGUGGUCUUAACAUGGGAAAGCUAGAAGACGAAAUCUUAUUGGUUUCCAAAUAGUUCGUCGAGGUUCAAUAGCAAUGAGAAGUGGUCUAGGGAAUAAAGCUUAUGGAAAUAUCACUUAGUUUACAGGAGUGGAAGAAGGUAAUAUCGACAUUUAAGCUUGCUUUUUACCGGAGACACAACAGGGUAUGGGACAUGAUACAGAAUUCAUGCCAUCUACGUGUUAACGUCUUUGGUGAUCCUAAAAUAUUACUUUCUAAUCAUUCAUUUACACGUUAUCACGUGCAAAUGAAUGGUAUCAUAAUUAGUUAAAAGCACACAAAUGAUAAAAAGUGAAUUCAUUACUAUAACUAUGCUUUAUUUAGGCACCUCAUGCAAUAAAUUAUUUCAUCUCAAAACUCAAUUUAAUAAUUAAUCCCAUGAACAUCCAUUCGUUAGAGCAUGACAACAAAAUUUAUGUAUGGCAUCUGUGGUAGAGCAUAAUAGUUGUAGAGAAAUGGAAAUUGAAAGGAAGGAGCUGGCAGCUUAUAACUGUGAUUCAAGUUUUUGCUUUAGAAUCUUUCAGAAAAAAAAAAAGUUUUUGCUUUAGAAAAUUUUUGACUCAACCUAGUAAACUGGUCAAUAAACUAUCAAAUUUGGGGCCCAAUUUGAUGGGCCUAGUUGGUUGCAGUGUUGGGUCUAGUUAGUCUCAACAAAUACUGGUCGUAGCCUCGUAGGCAGUUCGCAUUAGAGAUUUAUGAUGAUUGUAAUGUGUGAAUGAGUAAUAGAAAGCUCUAUUUAUUGGCACAAGGAGUAACCUUUGUGCGGUUGUGCAGAUAAAAAGAGAAAACAUGUAGUGGGUUAUAUGAAAUUAAAAGUAAUAUGUUGUUAUAAACACGAUUAGAAAACUCCUGAUUUAAGCCAUAAAAGCCUUCAACUCAACACCAAAGUAUUCAGGGAACUACACUCAUGGUUUGAAUAGAAAUGCACAACCAUGGUUCUAAUACCAAUGGCUAAAAUAAUUUUAAGCUUUACGGCAAUGAAUCCAUUCAACAUAUUUCAUAAGGGAGAAAAACUGCAUUUUAUCUUGGUUGGCCAUGAAAAAGACUUGCUGGUAAGCUUGUUUCUUGCCCGUUAAUUCAACCUUUUGUUCUUGGCUUCAAUCUCAACAGCAAAAUCAAGCUCCUCAUUCACUGCACACACACACAAUUAGGAGAAAGGAGAAAAAGAAAGAUAGUGUAUAAUGGAACUGCAUUUUAAAGAAAUGUGUAGAAAACAAUCAAAACCUCUACAGAAUUCUUAGUAUUUUUGUCAACACAAUACUUCUUCUUUUAAAGACAUUAAUGCCAUAGUACAAAACCUUAGCCUACAAGAUUUGUACACACAAAAUGAAAAAAGAGCCAAGUAAUUCAUGAAUAAAAAACAUAGAGCAAAGAAGGGAUAAGUAACAUAAACACGCACAUGAAAUUGGCACAGAUGAACAAAGAACGAGUUGCAAGCUCUUUAUUACCGAAAGAAACGAGCCCCAUAUCAUAUGAUCUCCCUACAAGCUUUACAACGAGCUAUCAUAUGCUUUCCAACUCUCAAAGAUUAACAAGUUAUAGGCCUUAGAAAUUGCCCUCGUAAAUUCAUUUUAAAGCUAAAUUUUCUUGCUAUUCAUGGGAUGAGCAUAUACUAUAUACAUAUUUUACCCUUAAUUAUAUAAUUGCUAAUUAUUUUUAUUUGAUAUUUUUAAUUAAUUAAUUAUUUUGUUGAAUAAAAAAUUACGUGGAGAUUAUGAAUAAAAAAAGGGCAUAAAGGAGCUCAAUUUCGGAAGCAUUAAUUAAUUGAUUUUCGGAGCAAUUAAGUAUAUUUGCAUGUGAAGUCAAGCAAAGGAAACCAAAUUCAACAAAUUGAUUCAUCCAUGCACAUGAAGACAAAGAAGAUUAUGGCCAUCACGUGAGAAGCAAUCACCAUUAUUGUUAGCAUGUGCAUGGCAUUAAAAAAGGAAUUCUAAUGCAAUUCUAAGUGGUGAGUACGUGUGAGAGCAAAACAAAUUAAAAGGCCAAGCCUUUCGGCUUUAGAAUUGGAAUGGUUGGUGGCUCAUUUUGGAGAUUAUAAAAAGAAAUAUGAACUUUGGCUUUUAAGAGGCCAACCGCGAGAAGAGAAAAAAGAGAGCAACGUUAGGCAUUCGGUAGAGGAGAAAAUAGCGGCAGAAGCUCUUUAAUUCUUUUAUGGUUGGUUUUAUUUUAUUUGUUGCUCUCAAUUCAAGUAUGUCAAGCUAAUUUUCUUUUACUGAGGUUAAAGAUGAAACCUUAUUCAAUGAAAUAAUUAUCUUUUUAUUUAAUGAAUUCCCUACAUGCGUGUUUUAAUGUUUAUGUUUUUUUAUUUUACAUGAUUAAUUGGAUGUUAUUAAAUCUUUUCAUCAAUUCUGUCAAGCAUUAUUGAUUGUUAGGAUUAAUAUUCAAUUAAAUUUAUGCUUUGGUCUAUAAAGUUUUUAUAUUAUUAUCUUUGAUUCUAUAUCUUUCAUUAAAUUGUUUACAUAGAGUGCUUAGGAAAAUUUUGACCAUUUGUUAUUCAAUAUGUUUACAUAAGAUGCUUGGAUAUCAUACUAUUAAGCAGAAAAAGAACCUACAUUAGAUUUAAUUACUUGGGCUUAAUUGUUAUAUUCAUAAGAUGACAUAAAUUGAUUUCGAGUUGUCACUCUAAAAUUGGGGAUUAAUUAACAAUUAGAUAAUUACUAAUUGAAUAGUGGUGAAUUCUGAAACCUUGAUAAUUUUUGUCUUAUUAAAUUCUCUUUUAUUUUAAUUGCCUUAGUUUAAUUAGUUUAAUUUAUCUUAAAACUUAAUUUGCUCAACUAUUUUAGAAUUAAUAUUAAUUUUAGAUUUAAAUUAGACUUUUCAAUUUAUAACAAUCCCUGUAGGUUUGACCUCAUUACCACUAUUCUAUUUUUAAAUUCGUGUGCUUGCAAGUAUAUUAAAAUUUUUCACAAUAAGUUUUUGGCGUCGUUAUUGGGGAUUGUGCCAGAAAGUCAGUUUAAUCUAGAUUGAUUUGAUUUUUCCAGUAGUUAUAAUUUAAGUUGUCUUUUAUUUUUAUUUUAUUUUUUUAAUAAAAAACACAAAAAAUAUUUAUUUGUCUUUAAAUUUAUUGUUUGGUUGUUUGAUUUGUUUUAUUUUAAAUUCCGUUUAUUUUUAUUAUUGUUGCUUUAUUUUCCUUUCUUUGUCUAGUUAGUUUAUGAGUGUUUGGGAACGCGAUUCAACAAAUCGUUUGGUAAGAAAAGAGUUUAAAAUUGAUAGUAGUCGAGUUAGUUCUUCAAAAGUGAUGGAUGACCCAAAUAGAAUAUUGUCAGUACUUCCACCAGUACAAGCAGAGAAAAUCCUUAGAGAAUCUUUUUCACCACUUGCAGCCAACCAACCAUCUUGUAUUGUGUUGCCACAGACUACAUCAACACACUUUGAACUCAAGCCCUCUGUCAUUUAGCUUUUACCAUCUUUCCAUGGGUUAGAGAGAGAGGACCCAUAUUUGCACAUUAAGUACUUUUUUGACAUGUGCUCUACAUUUUAUUUUCAAAAUUUUAAUGAUCAGUCAAUUAGGUUUCGUAUGUUCCCUUUCUCAUUAAAAGACAAAGCGGAAGCUUGGUUGAAUUCACUUCCUGCUAGGUCUAUUACUACUUGGGAUGAAUUAAGUAAUAAGUUUUUUACCAAGUUUUUCCCUAUGUCUAAAACAAAUGUCAUUAGGAGAGAGAUAAAUGAUUUUUGUCAAAGAGAGGGUGAACAAUUUUAUGAGUGUUGCGAAAGAUUCAAUGAUUUACUCCUCAAGUGUCCCCACCAUGGUUUUGAGAAAUGGAGACUUAUAUAGUGCUUUUAUAAUGGUUUAACUAUAUCAAAUCAUCACAUGAUAGAGUCUAUGAAUGGUGGGAGAUUUUUUAAUUUACAUGAAGGGGCUGCAUGAGAUUUCUUUAUUUUACUUUUUGAGAAUUCUCAACAAUGAGAUUUUUCAAAUCAAAGAAAAAAAUGAUCUCAAGUUUCUAGGAAAGUCUAUAUGAAGUUAAUGAAGAUUUUGAUGUUAAGGUCAUUCUAGCUACACUUUCUAGGAAAAGUAGACGCCUUAACUCUGAACCAAUCAAUGAAUCAUCACCCUAGUGUACCUAAUGAGGUUUGUACUCUUUGUUCUAACUUGUCUCAUACAGCACAUAAUUGUCCAUCAUUGCCAGCCUAUCAAGAGGCUUAUUAUGAGCAAGUACAGGCCUUACAAUCAUAUGAAAAAAACCUUCAAUAGUCCAUAUUCAUCCACAUAUAAUCCUAAUUGGAGGAACCACCCUAAUUUUUCUUGGAAACAAAGUCAGCCUUUAUCAAACCAAGGAGGACAACAAUUCAACGUACCCAAUCAACAAUUUGUCCUUACUAACCAAGUAUAUCCUCCUGCCCAACAGCCUAUGUCUCAAUUUGUUACACCUUAGCAAAGAAAACCUUUUUCAGAUGAUACACUUCAAAGUUUCAUUCAGUCAACCCAACAAGCUUUUCAGUCAAACACUCAAGCUAUUCUAAAGCUUGAACAUCAAUUGGGUCAAUUAGCAACUGCUGUGGCUGAGAGAAAAAAAGGAAAAUUCCCAAGUCAGCCAGUUCUUAAUCCUAAAUGAGUGCAUAAAGUUGGAUCAACUUCAAGCCAUCAGUAUAAAGAAGCAAAAUCUAUUAUGACCUUGAGAAAAUGAAAAAUAUUUGACAACAAGGUGGAGGUUCGAACAAGAAAGACAUCUGAACCUACUUAUGCAGAUCCAGUUCCAUCACAAGACUCAUCACUAAAUGAUCCAGAAGAAAGUAAUCCACCAGCUUACAUUCCUAAGGCUUAUUUUCCUUAAAGGUUAACAAAGGUAAAGAAAGAGACUUCAACAUGUGAGAUUAUGGAAAUCUUCAGGCAUGUAAGUAUAAGCAUCCCUUUACUCGAUGCUAUUAAGCAAGUUCCUCAUAUGCCAAGUUUUUGAAGGAUUUAUGAACUAAAAAAAGAAAUUUGCAUGUCACCAAAAAUGCAUUUUUAACUGAACAAACUAGCAAUUUACUUCAAUAUAAAAUGCCACCAAAAUUUAAGGAUCCAGGUUCCCCUACUAUCUCAUGUGUUAUAGGGAACCAAUUGUUUGAUAAAGUAUUAUUGGAUUUGGAUGCAAGUGUUAAUCUCUUGCCUUACUUUGUUUACAUGCAGCUUGGAUUACAUAAAUUAAAGUCAACUUCCAUUAUUUUGCAACAUGCAGAUAGGUUAAUGAAAAUACCUCAUGGUAUUAUAGAGGAUGUGUUGAUACAGAUUGAUAAAUUUUAUUAUUUUGUUGACUUUAUUGAUAUUGAUACUCAGCAUGUACAGGAUCCUAAGAAACACACCCCAGUUAUUUUAGGUCGUCCUUUCUUAGCUAUAGUUGAUGCUCUUAUUAAUUGCAGGAAUGGAAACAUGCAAUUAUCUUUUGGUAACAUGACCAUGGAAUUAAAUAUUUUUAAUGUUCCUGAUAACUCUAGGAAAUGAGAGUUAUUACAUCAAUUCUAAACUUAAAUCAAGAUCACUUAGAGAACAAAUAAGGUGUUUUUAUUACAUUUUGGUUAUAUUUUGCAUAAACAUUCAUUUUAGUUAAGUUUUAAUAAGUUUUGUUUGAAUCAAAGUAAUUGGUGCUAAAAACAGGUGCAUAAUUGUAGGUUUUUAGAAAGUCUUAAUUCAUGAGAGGAUGGUGAGACAGUGGAUGAGCAAGAUGAGGAAAGAAGAUAGCUGCAGAAGAAGUAAAGCACAAUCGGGAAUAGUACAGUGUUGUAGCGGAUGUUAAAGCAACCAGUGCUAUAGCAAUCUGGGAGCAAUGCUGGAGAAAAUUUAGGCGUGGGUCAGCUGCAGAAUCGCGAUUUGCAUGUUUCCUAAUUUAACUCAUGCACGCUUAUGAACUUUUAUUUUACUCUAGUUUGCAGAAUAAAAGAGAGGCGUGCACCACAUAGAGAGGCGGCAAGAGGAAUUAUCAUAAAAAUCAUUAAAGAGAAAAAGAGAAGAAGAUCAGAAUUGAAGAGUGCUGUUUCGGCAACAUUGAGGAAUCUGGCAGAAUUAUUCGAAUUUGUCUUUCACUGUACUCAACUAAUAUUUAUCUUCUUCCUUUGAUUGUUUUAAUGUAUCCCGUGAACAACAUAUUUUUUUUUUUUUUUCUUAUUCAAAAUAUGAACUAUAUUUUCUUGUAGUUGAGUGACAAACAAUCCAAUGGGUUCUUGACUGUUCUUAUGUGUUUGAUUUUUUUACAAAUUUGUUUUCCAAGUCCAUUGAUUUUCUGCCUCUCUUACCAAUCAUGUUAGGCUUGGAAAUAUCCACUUUGGUAUUAUUAUUUUAUAAAUUUUAAUUAUUUUAAUUAUUUAUUAAUUAUUAGUAUUAUUAUUGUUAUUAGUUUUAUUAUUUUAAUUAUUAUUAUUGAUUAAGACUAGAAAGUGUACAUUUGAUAAAAGUUAAAAUUAUCAUUUUCCACUUACAUUGUUGAUAAGACUAACAAUGGCAUCAAAUUUACAAAUCCCUAACACAUUUUAUGAAUUUUCUAUUUUUAUUGGUUUUAAAGUAUGAUUUUUGUGCUUUGUAGAUAAAUCCCUAAAUUCAUGAUGUUUGGAUCGAAAAAGUGAACGUGAAAUUUAGAUUCUGGAGACUCAAAAUCCUUUAGAAGAAUUGCUACCCUUUUGAUCCAACAUUAAUUAUAAACGGUUGAGAUCAUGCUAUGUGUCUAAGCUAAAGUGCACCUUAUUGUACUAGAUUUAACACUUAUCAAUUUGAUAGAUCAACUAUCUUGACAAAUGAGCCUAUGGAAGAUCCCAUUUUGACCUCAUUUAUAGCCAUUGAUUAUAUUGAAUCCGACUAUUCAUAAUGGUUGCAAUUUUAAACCCUUGGAUUAUAUUAGUAAAGCUCAUUUAAAGGUUGUGGUUGCAAGCUCAUCGAAAAUAUUAUGUAAAUGUCCAACUUUAUCAACUCAAAAUUUGCUUAUAUAAAGGCAAGAGCUCUCACAAAUUUGUGUAGAGAAUUUAGAGAGAAGUUGGUAGAGAAUUGGUAGUGGAUUUUACAGGUGAGUUUUGUAGAGAAAUUUAAUGUAAAUCUAAAGUGAAUUUUACAGAAAAGCGUGAGUUUGGUGUAAAUCUAGAGUGAAUUUUAAGAAAAAGUGUGAGUUUGUUGUAAAUCUAGAGUUAAUUUUAGACCCUCAACAUUUUUUUAAUUUAAACUAUUCCUUAUUAAUUUUCUUUUUUACAAUUAUUUUUAUUUUAUAAUUAGCUAUUAUAUUUUUAAAUUCCUUAUGGGUUGACUCGAGAUUCACAAGUUAUAGUACAUCUAGACACUCUUAUAUUUGGGAGUAAUCAACUAUUUUUGAGUCAUGUUAAUUAUCAUUAUUUAUUAUUAUUGUCUUUAUUGUUAUUUUUUUAUUGUUAUUAUUAUUGUAAUAGAAACAAUUAAUACUUAGGAUAACAAUUAAAAAAAGAUAUUUUAGUAACUUAAAAUAAUUAAUUUUGAUUUUAAGAUAAAGUAAACAUAUUAAUAGUAAUAUAAUUCUGACUCAUAUAAUUUAAGUAAAUAAUUUAUUUUAAUAUAUAUUUUUCAUUUUAAUUUCAACUUAUUCCUAUUAGUAGUUAGACUUUCACCUUUGGAAGGCUCCAGGACUUGCUUAUUAGACCUUUGAUUUUUCCUCAAUUUGUUAUUCAAGUCCAUUGACUUUCUACCUCUAUUACCAGUCAUGUUGGGCUUGGAAAUCUCCACUUCUAGUAAUAAUGAGCAUGAACGUGGGCCAGAUUAUUUAAAUGGAUUCUCUAUUGGAGGUAGAUUAUUAGUUGUAAUAUUAGGAUCAUCAUUCGUCAGCCCCCUUCGCCGCAGAGAAAUUUUCUUAUCUUUAAAUUCCUGGCCCCCCUGUCUGUUGUGAAGGUUGAGUUGUGUUGGCGUUACCUCGGAUGUGAAGAACUGGCCAGAAUACUUCCAUGAGGGGCCAUGUCCACUUCUUCUACAGUGCCUAAAUGACUGCCCAAGAAGUGCCCCACCACUCUUUUGUCAAACAUACAAUCGGCAAAUUGUGAACCUAGUAACCAAAGUGACGCAUGAGAGAAAUCCAAUCAAGUUUGGAUAUGUCCCCCUUUUACCGUUGGCUGGACUAGACAAAUUUGGACCAUUCCUGUUAGGCUGAACUUUUUGAGUACAUUUUGAAAGUAACAACCAUAGUGACAUAAAUAAUGGACAUAAUACCAAUAGCACCAACAGUCCAAUGAUCCUUCUUUUUUAUUUAUUUAUUUUUUUUUUUUUGUUGGCUACAUUAUAGUUAUUCACUUAUUUUAUUUAUACUUAUUACAUAAAUUCAAACUCAUUUUGGGUACUAUAGUCAAUGGGCAUAAUUGUGAAAAGAAAUUUUGGGUGACUACUUGUGAAGGGGUGGAAUUUUCCUCCUAACACCCAUUUUCUUAAGAAACCGAUUAUUAAAAUUUAAAAACUUAAUUUUUACUCUACACAUCCUCUAUAUUUCCAAAAAGCUGACCUUAAUUAAAGAUAUACUUUUUUUUUAUUUUUUUCUACAAAUUUGUUUCUACAUCUGCAGCCACUUCUUACCUCUUCUGUUAGCGUUCUCGCUUUGUCUUCAUCUCAAAAAAGUACUGAAGUUGUUCUCUUAUCAAUCUCCACAAGAGCAUGCAUAUUAAUAAGGAGAAAUGAGACUUAAAUAAAUAAACAUGACAUAAUUAAAAUAUUUAAGAUUAUUAAAAUAAUAAUAUUCUGCUAUAAAAAUAUCUCUUUUCAACUUCCAGCCUGCUAUAAUACUUCUUGAAAUUUUUUUGGGUCGCAAACUCGCUUGUCCCUGUUUUAUAUUUGAUUUGCUCAAGGUUCAUAGAUGAGAAAGAAACUAUGGUAUCAGAAGCACCAAUUUCUAUUAUGUUGACACUUCUUGAGUUCGUAUCAUGUUGUUAGUUAGCUGCACUUGGGACUGCAAAGCUAUUCACGUUUUGGAUAAUUAUUUUAUGUUUCAGUUAAUAAAUUAAGUUUGUCCUAAUCUUUAGGAAGUUGUUAGUUUGUUCAACAUGUAUCAGCUUAUGGCUUGAUUCUCGGUCACUUAGUUUCUCAAUUUUUAUUAUUUAUUGUAAGCUUAAUGCAUAAAAGAAAUAAGAAUUUCCAGUAUUGCAUUCCCGCAUAUCUUUCUUUGUUCUUCCUCAAAACUCUUUAAACCUCUGUUUUUAUCUUUCCAAAUUAACACAUGUGCAUUCGCUUUGUUUGUUAUUAUUUGCGAAAUACUCUUUUAAAUUUGAAAAAGGAGAAUUUUUAAAUGAACGACCCAGAAGAAAAUGAAUUAGGGUUUAAUGUUGGGAUGACUUCUCUUAGGUGAGUGUAAAGAGAAUUAUUUCUUUACUAUAAAUUAUCUUAUUUUGUCUCCAGCAUUAAUUUCCUUUAAGGAUAAUUUAAGAAUAUAAUUUUUAUCAAAACAACAGGUGUAAAGAGUAUUUUUAUGAGUUCAAAUAUCUUGGAAAGGGUGAGAAUAACUAAUUUCCUUAUACUCUCUUUUUAAUUAAAAUUUUUAAUGUUAAUUUGGAUAAAAUUAUCUAAUUAUCUAUCUUCUAUCUUUCACACACGUUUCUUUUGUUUUGAGGGUGGAUCUACGACCACGCUCACAUUGUAGUAAAGGAGACUAUAUAUAAGUGUGUGUGGGUGGGUGUGUGUGUACACGCUUAAUAAUAGGACAUUAGGAGUCUUACCUUUAUGAAUACUUACUCUAAGCAAAAUAGUUAUAUAAAAAUGUAGAAAAUAAAAAUGCAAUUCAAAUACAAGCUAUAUAUUCUUCUUAAAAAAAUAAAUUAAAAGUUUAAAUAUAUUAAAAUCUCAAAUACUUAAAUAGAAUGAUUAAAUAAAUUAAGCAACUAAAAAUUGAUAUCUUUUCAAUUUUUCAAAAAGUAUUUUUAGUUAAAAAUAAAAAAUAAAUUAAGCCUAUUGGACACUCAAUAGCACACAACUUUGAGCUUGCUUCAAUUUAUAGAAAACAGCUUCCCUUUAGCACAGCAAUUUCUUCAUUAAAUUUCUCAAACAACAUGAGCUAUGUCUAAUAGAGCUUCAUUGUUUAAAAGACAAUAGAAUUUUAAAAUUAAUGAUAAGAUACUAAUAACUGAUAAAAUUUGAUAACUUAAUAAUAAAAUUCAACUUUAUUGCCUUAAUUAGGACAAUAACUUGAUCAAAAUUGACUUUAAAAUUAAGGUGAAAUUGGCUUGGCCGUAAAGUGAGCACUGAUAUUUGUCUUUUGUUAGUAGUUGAUCGGUGGAAAUUGGAAUAAAAGAAGAAAAUGGAACUUGAAAUUUUGACUUAAGUAUCCAUUUAAUAUUUGUAUUUUUUAAAAAUACCUUAAAACAACCUUAUAGUUAAAUAUGUUAGCCUAAAGGGUUACACAUAAUGUAAUUUUGAUGAUAACAAAAAUGUGUCUUAAGCGAUUUAAUAAAUAUUGUAUUUAACAUUUUCACAAGUUUUUGAAGGAUAAUAUUUAUGCAAGUGAAUCAAGUGAAAUCAAGUUCAAGACACUAAACGGAUAACGGCGAAAUAAAGAAUAAAGUUUAGAGCUCAACGGAUAAAUUAUUGCGACAAAUUCUUGUAAAGCCGAUAUGAUUUAAUUGAUACAUGAUUUAGAAUUUGAGAAGCUCAAGAGUUUAUUUAAAUAAUUACUUUUCAUAAACUAAAAUGUUUUAUAUUUAUAAGAUAAAAUAUUUUGUGAAUUUGAGUAAUUUGGACUAAAAUAAAAAGUUUUACAAUCUUUGAAUUUAAUAAGUAUUAUUUUAAAUUCUGAAAUUGAACCUAUUUGACAACAUUUGAAAUAUUUUGCAUCAUAUUAUAAUUUAUGAAAGAUUAUGGACCCGAAUGUAAUUCAAACAUUUGAAUUCGGAAAGAGAGUGCGGCUAACCCCCUGAGGGCUGGCGGCUAGCCGUCUGAGGAAAAUCUCAUAUUCUCAACUUUUGGAUAAAAUUGUAAGGAUUUGAGAACUUUGACAUUUAUGAAUAUUUUGUUAAACUUUGAAAAGGAUGUCUUUGAAACAUAUUAUUAUAUAUUGGGCCAUAACAUAGUUUCAAAAAGUUUUGGGAAUGAUAAAUAUUAUUUAAAAAUUCUAAAAUUGGAUCUUUUUGUAAAAUUUUAUGACAUUUGGGCUAUAGUACAAUUACAAAGAGUUUUAGACAAAAAUAUAAUUUUAUGAACAGUGUUAAGUGGCUAACUGCUUGGGCGCGGAAAUUUACCUAUAACGGCUAGUUUUCGAGCUUUAACUAUAAAAACUCAACUCCAACUUCAUUUUAAAUAUUAAUGUAAGGAUAAACAAGAUCACAUAACACAUAUUGAGCUUCCAUUUCGCAAAUCAUCAUUUAUUGAAUCAUUAUUGUGCUAUUAUUUACAUAUCCACUCUUAAAGAGAGUUUUUGUUGUAAUUUUCAUUUCUCAUCAAAUUGUGAGUGUACAAGUGUGAGAAACACUUGGGGUGAAGAGAUUUGGGAGAUAAUAUCUUGAUUGUAAAGGUUAUUGACACAUUGGAAGUCAAUUGUAAGAACUUGAGGCCUUGAGAGGCUUGGAUAGUGAAAUCUUUAGCUUGGUUGGCUUGGAGGUGUGGACGUAGGCGGAGAUUGCCGAACCACGUAAAAAUUAUUGUGUUUGAUUUCUAUUCCCUUACUAUUUUAUUAUUGUGCUUUACUAAAUUUAUUGUUUUUGUAUUUGAUUAAGGCAAUAGAUUAAAUUGUUUAGCAUAAGUUUUAAAAUCCCAAUUCACCCCCCCUCUUGGAUUGCAUAACUUGCAUUUCAAAAUAUAUUACAUUCUUUCUUUUACUUUUUUUACAAAAAUACCUUUCUAAUAAUAUUCUUGACAUUAAUUUAUUUAUUAAUAAGAAAUUAAUUAACAAAUUAACCAAUACUUAUUUACUAAACCAAUAAAUAUUGAUGUAAAAGAAUUAUUAUUAUUUAUUUAUGCAACAAGUUUACUAAUAAUUAUUUAUAAAUAAAAUUAAUAUCAAUCAACUUAAAUCAAUUUUUAUACAAAAAUACCCUUGCAAUAAAAUUCUUGGGAAUACCAAUAAAAAGAAAAAAAUUUUAUCAAAUUGACUUAGAAAUAACAUAAAAAUUUACACAAACUUUUAUAUUAUUAUAAUUUUUUUUUUUUACUUUUAGGAUUAACUUAGGAAAUUAUUUUUCUAUAAAAUAAUUAUUAGUAAGAUUGCUAUAAGGAUGUUUGACCCACUCAAAUCAACCCCCACUCUUUAAUUAACAAAAAAAUAUUACCAAAAUUACCUUUUAAAAAUAAAUAUAGUUUUUUAUUUUAAUUUUUGGUCUCUCUCAAAAUUCAUCAUAUUGAAUUCUUGAUCUUCUAAUAUAAAACGGCAAAGCCAUUAGUAAGAAUUAAAUCUGCAAUAAAAAUAUAAUGAUUUGUAUGGGGUUCAUAUCCGGAAAAACAAAAUAAAUUUAUAUCAUGGGGUUAUCAUUGUUUCUCUAAAUUCAUUUUACAGCUAAAUUUUCUUACUAUUCAUGCAAGCAAACUUUUCAAUUGCAUAUCAGACUGCGAUGGUGGUGAGGAAAAAAAAAUAAACAAUUUUUUUUUUACAUUUUAAGGAUAAUUUUAAAAAUAAAAUGAUUAAUUGAAUACCGGAAAAUAAUGAGAUCAAUUAAAGGAUCAAAUAUCAUUUCAAAGCUAUGGUAAUGUGCGCUGACAAAACCUCUCAACUGCCACCGGCGGCUGACCGAUCUACCAAGAAAGCAAAGUUUAAGGCUCAAGGGGCAGAUGGGGAUAACCCAUCUCCUUUGUCUUUCCGCGACAUGCUAAUGGACAUGCACGAACAAUCUGAUAGUGGGAAGUUUGGCCGGAAGGAUGACUGGGAGUUGGAGGAGGAUGAUGUGACGUACAGGGAGGAGGAACCUAUGCCAUUCAUAGCAUUCUCAAGCAGAGUUCAUGAACGGUUAGUGGAACCCUGGGAAAACUCAGUGGUGGUCAAAAUAUUAGGGCGCAACUUGGGGUAUCGUGUUCUCAGUUCUCGGUUGAACAGGAUCUGGAGUUCUACCACAAGGUUUGAAAUAAUUGAUUUAGCUAAUGAUUAUUUCCUGAUCCGUUUCUACAACAAAAAGGAUGUGGAGUAUGCCCUUACUGAGGGACCAUGGACGGUGAUGGGGCAUUAUUUAUCAGUGCAGAAAUGGUCUCCAGACUUCGAUGUAGUUAAUAAUAAAAUCAACCGCAUCAUGGCUUGGAUCCGUCUGUCUCAAAUGAAUAUUCAAUUUUAUCAUAAGAGUAUUAUCCGGCGACUAGGGCACAUUAUUGGUCCAGUCAUCAAAAUUGACAAUAACACAAUUACGGCACAGAGAGGCAAAUUUGCUCGUCUUGCGGUUGAAUUAGAUCUUCAGAAGCCUCUAGUUUCUCAGUUUAAUCUUGAAGGAAGGAUUCAAAAAGUGGAAUAUGAAAAUUUGCCGACGAUUUGUUUCGGUUGUGGUAAAUUUGGCCACUUCAAGGAUGCAUGUCCUGAUAGUGCUGACAUUAACAUCAUGGCCAAGGACAAUCCAGCCCCUCCUACGGAGGCUGAGGGGCAAGCCGUUGUGGUGGCUGCAGCAACUGACUACCGAGAGCCUAAAUUUGGAUCGUGGAUAGUGGUGGCCCGCCAGCCGCGCCCUCGUAAAGUCUUCGCCAAGGAUAAUCCUAAAGUUCAAGAUAAGGAUCGGUACAUGCCAAAAACUAGCCAGUCUCUGUUUGGUGUUUUGGAAGACCUUGAUAUUGAGGAUGAGAUCUCUCAAGAUCAUGAUACAGACCCCGGUUCUCAACGGGAACCUAUGAUGCAUGUAUCGGAGAGCAUCCAAUUCCUAGCCCCAAAACCUCGGAGCAUGAAAACGAAAAACCCUAGUCAACUCACUCGGAAAUACCCCCCUCGUCAAGUUUCCAUCACCAUUCCUCCAAGUCAACACGUAACUGAAAAUUUUGACCCCAAUACUCAAAUUCCCACUGAUUAUUCCCACCAAAAUAACCAACCCCCAGCCAUGCAUGGCAUGCAUGCUCCACCCAAAUUUUCCACGUCCACUCAUUCUGCUCCAUCUAAUGCCGCCUCCACUUCCAUGCAUGGUAUGCAUGCUUAUCAUAAUCAUGGCCAACACAAUCCAGGUCCAUUUCCAGUAUCCAUCACCCUUAACCCGCUACACCAUAGUGCCGUAUCUUUCUCCAAGACUUUUUCCCCAAAGGCAACUAAUCAUCCCCCCUCUCAACCUGUUGGUGACCCCUCUCUUGUUGGUGAACCACCGGACAAGGGCAAUCUGAAUGACCCUUACAUUAUGGAAGCCAUUGUUGAGCCUGAAGACUCCCCAGUUGCAAGCAGGAGUGGCUCUCCUUUGUCUACUACUGAUAUCUUAUUUGUUGCUGAUUCUGGCAUGGAAAUUGAGGCUGCGGCUUUGGAGUCCUCCCAGUAACUCCACUUGUUUCCCUUUCCAAUAAAUUUUAUGUUUAUUAGAACCAUGUUUUGGAAUUCUCAAGGUGCAGCGUCACCGUCUUUUUGUCGUUCCUUUUCGGUUUUAGUUCAGAAUUACAAGCCUUCCCUGGUUGUGUUGAUGGAGCCCCGUAUUAGUGGUUAUAAGGCUGAUCAUUUUAUUAAAAUAAGUGGCUUUGACAAAUCAUUCCGGGUGGAAGCAGAGGGUUUUUCUGGUGGCAUUUGGGUCCUAUGGAAAGAUAUUUUUUAGGUUGAGAUUGUUGCCAGCCAUUCUCAGUUUGUUCAUCUUCGAAUUUCCAACAACAAUAAUGUUCUCUCUUGGUUGACAGCUAUUUAUGCAAGCCCUAACCCCAGUCUUAGAAAAUAUCUUUGGAGUGAGCUAGAUAAUUUAGCUCAAACAGUUUAUGGUCCCUGGAUUUUGGGUGGGGACUUUAACACUAUUUUGUACGAUUCGGAAAAGAAAGGUGGGUCCCCUACAGGCACAGGAGCUUGCACUCUCUUCCAGUCUUGGUUCAACCUUCACAACAUGCAUGAUCUUCAAUCUCAUGGGCCACGUUUUACUUGGUCACGUGGAAGCCUAUUAAAACACCUUGAUCGCGUUAUUUGCAACAGUGAGUGGGCUCGUACCUUUUCCAAUUCUUUUGUGCUCCAUCUGCCGAAACUGAACUCUGAUCAUAGGCCUAUCCUGGUGCGAAGUACUGAUUUGUCUUCGAGAGUUUCGAUCUCUCGUCCUUUUCGGUUUCAAGCGGCUUGGCUUACUAAUGAAGGUUUCAAAGAAUUUGUGUCUGAAUCUUGGGAUCAGAACCUUCAUUACUUAGAUGGUGCUAAUAAAUUUCGUCAUAAGGUUACUGAAUGGAACAAGCAGUGUUUUGGGAAUAUUUUUUGGCGGAAAAAAUGUUUAUUAGCUCGUUUGGGAGGGAUUUAGCGGGCUUUAGAAAGAUAUUACUCUAAAGGGUUAUUAAAUCUUGAGAAACAACUAAACGCGGAUCUGGAAGAGGUGCUCACCCAAGAGGAAAUUAUUUGGCAUCAGAAAUCUCGGAGGGACUGGCUGCUUCUCGGUGAUCGUAAUACAUGUUACUAUCAUCACAAAACUCUUUCUAGAAGAAAACAAAAUAAUAUAGCGGCCAUCCAAAACAAUGCAGGGCUUUGGCUUUAUGAGGAAGAGGAAAUUAAAUCUCAUGUAAUUCAGUUCUACUCAACGUUAUUCUCUUGUGAUUCUCCUGACCUUCAGCACUACCCCCAUCCAAAUUGUUUUCCGCUUAUUAAGGAUGACUUGCUCCAUACCUUAAAUAAGUGCGUGGAGGAUGCUGAAAUUAAACAAACUAUCUUCAGCAUGCACCCUCUGAAAGCCCCGGGUCCUGAUGGUCUCCAUGCCAUUUUUUAUCAGACGCAGUGGAACACUGUGGGCUCUCCUUUAUGUCGUUUGGUGAAAGCUGUUUUCCAUGAAAAAUAUAUUCCUUUGGGGCUCAAUUCCACGCUGAUUGCUCUCAUUCCCAAGACAGAAAGCCCCUCCUCGUUGAAAAUGUACCGUCCUAUCUCCCUUUGCAAUGUUGGCUAUAAGACUAUCACCAAGCUGUUGGCUAAUCGCCUUCAAUCUAUUUUACCCUCUCUGAUUGGCCCCCAUCAAACUAGCUUCGUCCCUGGUCGUCAUAUCACGGAGAACAUCGUGAUUGCUCAAGAGGUUGUUCACUCUAUGCGCAAGAAGACGGGCUCUACUGGUUUUAUGGCUAUUAAAGUUGAUUUAGAAAAGGCUUAUGAUCGUCUCAGUUGGGAGUUUAUCAGUGAUACUCUGCGUGAAGCUCGCAUUCCUUCCGAUCUUAUUCAUGUUAUUAUGGCAUGCAUCACUUCGGUUACUAUGAGGGUUUUGUGGAAUGGGGAGGCUACGGAUGAAUUUUCUCCUUCCCAAGGAAUUCGUCAAGGCUGUCCAUUGUCCCCUUACCUAUUUGUCCUUUGCAUCGAACGGCUCAGUCACGGGAUUCGCAAUGCUAUUAGUGCCGGGAAGUGGCGUCCGAUCGGGUUAUCUCGCCAUGGAACACGUUUAUCUCAUCUUUUUUUUGCGGAUGAUCUUCUUUUGUUUGCAGAGGCUACAGUUGAGCAAGCUAGAGUUAUUUCAACAGUGUUAGCAGAAUUUUGUGCUUGUUCUAAUGCCAAAGUUAAUACAAGUAAAACUCUGCUUUAUUUUUCAAAGAACAUAGGUGCCAGAGAUGUCUCUGCAAUUUCGGGUCUUCUUGGCUUCUCAGUUACUUCUGACCUCGGCAAAUACCUUGGGGUCCCUCUUCACCAUUCAAGGGUUUCUACCAAUAUGUAUAAAGGGAUCAUCGAUAAGGUGGAGAAGCGGCUGUCGGCUUGGAAUGCCUCUCAUUUGUCCUUGGCUGGCCGCAUCACUCUAGCUCAGUCAGUUCUCCAGGCAAUUCCCAUCUAUGUUAUGCAGACUGUUUCCCUUCCUCGUGGGGUUUGUGAGAAAAUCGAUAGAGCGUGCAGGAGGUUUAUUUGGAGCGGUUCGUCUCCUCAACAGAAGCUCAACAUGGUUAGUUGGAAGAUUGUGUGCAAGCCUAAAGCUUCUGGCGGUCUUGGUUUCAAGUCUUUGGCAAUGAUGAAUCGGGCUUUACACAUGAAGCUAGCUUGGGGCAUAAUCUCCUCUUCGAAUAAUUUUUGGGUCCAGGUCCUUACUUCGAAGUACAAAGUGGAUCCUUACAACUUGCCUCCCGUCCUUCCAACACGCUAUGGUUCUCACUUGUGGAAGUCUCUUGGGCAGGUUUGGAGUGAGGCUCUUGCAAGCAGGCGCUGGAGUUUGGGUGAUGGUCAAUCUGCUCGUUUUUGGUGGGAUCUUUGGGUCACUGAUACGGUCCCUUUAAUCGCAUGCGCAACAAAUACUAUACAUGUGGGCAUUUUGGAUUGUAAGGUGGAAGAUCUUGUUGAUGUAAAUGGGGCUUGGUGUUGGCCUCGUUUUGAUCGAUAUCUUCCCAACCAUAUUGUUCUACAAAUAGCUGCUCUUCACCCCCCUUCCCACGUGAAAGGCAUGGACACUAUCUUUUGGGCUCAUUCAAAACACGGAGCUUUUUCUACAAGCUCGGCGUAUUUGGCUCUCUCUGAGUACGAUCCAAAGUCUGAAGAUAGAGAUUGGCAGUUAGUAUGGAAGUGGAAAGGCCCUCAAAGCGUGAGAAUCUUCUUGUGGCAAGCGUUUCACGUUGGUUUGAAAACUAAGGCUGAGUUGGCUCGGCGGCACUUACCCAUCUCGCCUUGUUGUGAUCGUUGUAGGGCUGUGUGUGAAGAUAUUACGCGUGCUCUACGUGAUUGUUGGUUGGUUAAGCAGUUUUGGCUCAACAUUAUUCCGACAAGCAAACGUCACAGUUUCUUUAAUUCUCGGCUUCAUCUUUGGCUAUGCUCGAAUCUGGUUGUUAAUCGUAAGGUAGGGAAUGUUUCAAACUGGGCUGUUUUUUUUGGAGUGGCGAUAUGGCGGAUCUGGUAUUGGUGUAAUCAGUUUCUCUUUAACAAAUUGAUGUUAGACCCUUUGGCUUUGUUGGUGGAUGUCCAUACAAGAGCUGAGAAGAUUCACAAGCUUCAUAACCACCUGUUGCUCACUAGGAAUAUUAGGACUCACAUGUGGAUUUCUUGGCAUCCUCCUGAGUGGCCCUGGUGUACUCUGAAUACGGAUGGUGCUCACAAGUCUCACGGAAAUUCUACUGCAGGUGGUUUAAUUCGAGAUCACUUAGGACGUUGGCUAAUAGGCUUUGGGAUGAUGAUUGGUUCUUGCUCUAUUACUGUCGCGGAGCUCUGGGGCUUAUAUCAAGGGUUUCAGCUUGCAUGGAAUUCUGGUAUCCGUAGAUUGAAAGUUGAAACGGAUAGCCUUUGCGUUACUCAAUUGGUGGCUAGACCUUCGGUGGUGACCAAUGAAUAUGCUCCCUUGGUCCAGGCUAUAAAAGAUUAUCUCAAAUUGGAUUGGCAUGUUUCCAUUUCUCACAUCUACAGAGAAGCAAAUUUUGCUGCAGAUUAUAUGGCGAACCUCGCUUUUUCUAUUCCGCUAGGCUUUACUGUGUACCCUUCCCCCCCUUUGGGCGUUAGGGCUCUGUUAUUGCAUGACUCUUACGGGGUUUCUCACCCCCGUUCUGUUGUUCUCUAGCUCUUCUUAGAGCCCCAAUUAAUCAAAAAAAAAAAAAAUCAUUUCAACAAAAGUAUUAUUAUUAUUAUUAUUAUUAUUAUCAUCAUUAUUUAUUUUUUAAACUGGUUCAAAUGUGCUCUAUUUCAUUAUAUUCUUAGAACUUGAGUUAAACUUGAAAUUGUCACUCUCUUUGCACAAUUUAAGAGAGUAGGUUCGCAUCUCAAGGAAUUCUAUAUUUCAUAUUUGUCACGAGUAACAAACAAAAAAAAAAAAGAAGAAAAUCUAGAAAUUGUAAAUGGAAAAUAUGAGAAAUUUGAAAUUACCUGCAAAAUGAUUUUAUCCAGUCAAGAUGAGACGGUGAUCAUUCAAGAUAACGAAUAGAUUCCUUUCAAGAUUACAACUGGACAUGAGCUGACAGCAUUUUUUUUUUCUCUCUUUUUGAGCUUUUGAGAAGAACAGGAGAGCACGUUUUUUUUUUUUUUCAUUUUUUUCUUUUUUUUUGAUGCUAGGAGAGCACGUUAAUUAAACAAACAAACACCAAUCGACAAAAUUAUAAACGACAAGAACAAUUAUUUCAUUCAAGUUUAUGUGGUGAUAAUUCAAUAUAACAUUGGGGCACGAUGAGGAUGGUCAACAGACAAAUUACCAUCACAAUAAACGUGUCAAAUAAUUGCAGGUGCGCCCCGAAGAGAGGAAGAAUCUCCAAAUUAUCGGAUAAUGAUAGCAGAAUGGUAUUGCUUCAGAAGUAAUCUUGUAUUAAUUCUGAAUUUGUCCUGAGUACUGAAUUAAUAAUCAAUAAUUAUUUUACGUGGCCCUCAAAUAAUUGCUGUCUAUUUAUCUAAUGUUCAGGAUAAGCUCAGAUCAGCACCGGAUCCGUUUUCCAAUUUUUCUUCCCCAAAUUCUGUUUCUGUACACUGUAAGUAUUUUUCAUCCUCAUUUUCUUGUAUCCAUUUUGCGUGGCCCUCAAAUAAUUGCUGUCUAUUUAUCUAAUGUUCAGGAUAAGCUCAGAUCAGCACCGGAUCCGUUUUCCAAUUUUUCUUCCCCAAAUUCUGUUUCUGUACACUGUAAGUAUUUUUCAUCCUCAUUUUCUUGUAUCCAUUUUGCGUUAUGUCACCAUUUAUUUUCAUCUCGACAUUUGGUUUCAAUUAGAUCACCGGAGGAAAUACGAUGGGAAGAACACAGAUCAUCUCAAAGAGCACCGUCUGUGCAGCAAUUCACAAGGAACCAAACCUUAGAAUCGAUUUAACUCUAUGGGAUCUUAAGCUCAUUCAAUUUGAUACCAUUCAGAAAGGACUUCUCUUCCGCAAACCUUCAGAGGAUAACACCGAUACCAGCAGCUUGAACUUGAUCCACCACCUCAAGACCUCCCUUUCACGUACGCUAGACUACUUUCCCCCACUUGCCGGUCGCCUAGCCACCAUCGAGCAUCGUGAUGACAGCAACACAAUUUCUGUUUACAUAAAUUGCAACAAUGCCGGCGCAGAGUUUGUGCACGCCAUGGCCGAUGGAGUCUCUGUUGCAGAUAUCAUUACACCUGUUUAUGUUCCUAAUGAAACUGUUUACUCUUUUUUCCCACUAAAUGGAGUAACAAACUGUCAGUGUAUCUCCGAGGCCAAGCCGUUGCUUGGGGUUCAAGUGACAGAGCUUGUGGAUGGAAUCUUCAUCGCUUGCACUAUCAAUCAC